CUGCUGCUGGUUCUUCAUUGGUGACUUAGGGCGUAGAGCCUCUAUAUCAGGGGUAGUCACAACAAGAUGAGGCGCCUCAGGAGGAGGAUUUCUUCCACCCCCUCCUUGCCAAACUUUGCCAUCCUUGUCAGCAAAAUUCCUGAUGUACGCCUGAAAGUUACCAAAUCUAGGUUUAGCAUACCAUAGAGGAACUACGAUGACAAGCAUGAACAAAGCAUUCAUAUUAGUAAACAAGUGUCGUAACACCAAAAAUUGCUAUUCCAUUAAACAACUUAAGUCUUAGAUUGUUGGCCAGCACAUUAAGAGAGUCCACGUGAAGGGAAAAAGAGUGUUAUGAUUAGAAGUAAUCAUGUUUCUGAAUGAUACUGUACCUCAGCAUUGAAAUUUGAUGAAGAUAAUUCUUUACCAGCAGUCAGCCAACCAGAUCGAAUAUUGUGAUCUUCGCCAAAGAGCUCAAGCCUUCUGCGGCCUAGAGAGAAAUGCUCAAUUAUCCUAUACAUGUCUUCAGGCUUUUGAGUUGAACCUGCAGUUCCAUUGGUUCCAUUGGCAUAAAACACAUUAAUAUGUCUCAUAGCAUCACCCAUUUUAAGGUGACGCUUUACAACAUUCUUGUAAAUUGGAAGCAUGUCAGAUUUUAUAACAAAUAAAACAAGAACAAAAAAUGAGGAAAGAAUGCAUGCAUAACAAAAUCCUUUAUUAUAUUGUGAGAACAGACAGACAGACAGAUAGCAGUAAACACAGAAAGUUAUGCAGCAGCUCUUCAAUUUCUAAUCUAGAUCAUUCACAAACCAAACACAAGUGUAGUUAUGUGGACUCAUACCAACCAGAGCCAAAAAUUUCAACGAGGAAAUACACUGACCAUAAGGAGGUUCCUCAGCAAUAAUUACAUCAGUAUCAAUGUUAGCAUGGAUGAUGUGACCAUCAGUGCUGCGGCGAACAGUUCCUUUUAUACCCAUCAAGCAGUGUUCCUUCAUUUCAAUGACAAGGCAAUAAACAGUCAAGGAAAAAAAUAAAUGAACUUGUGAGAAGUCAAAGUCAGGGAAAGUUGCCCACUUUUACAAUGCAGAAGAAAAAUCAAACACCAACCUUUGAAUGCUGAAACAAAGUAUGGGAAUCAUGUCGGAGCCCUGGAGUUGCGUUGCUUUUGUUGGUCUUCACCCAACAAAUAUCUUCGCAUCUCCGAAAUCCCCACUGCAGUGGUGGAAAACUAAAUUAAAUUAUAUAAAUUACAGAUUAUUUUACAGCAGAUGAUAUGGGUGGAGCCAAAAAGAAAAGGCCAAGCAAUUGUCAAAUUCAAAUCUGACAGAACAACUGAUUUAACAGAACAUUUAUGAGGAGCCAAAAAUGAAUGGGUAAGCCAUUGUCAAAUUCUAAAUCUAAUGGCCGAAUACCUUCUUUAAACAGCGGCGGCCUUGCUCAAGACCAACACCAUCACCCACCCAGAGGAAGAUAAAAGAAGGCGUAUCUGCAAUUGCCUGUAACCACAUGGGGAAAAAAAAACUUUAGACAAGUCAAGAGAAAUAUGAAAUAUAACAUCUAUUUAUAAAAGAACAAUGCAGCUUAUAUCUACACUUUGAACAUUAGCAACUGAUGGCCCUGGGUACCAAUAUGAAUAGCCUUUGCAUUCCAACUGCACUUUAAUGGCAUGCAAUCACUCUUUUGCAAGUAGAGCAGUCAAUUCUUAAUCAAGGUAACAAAAAUACAACUACUCAUUUUCUAUGAAAGGCAACUGCAAGGAAAAGAGAGUUGGAAACAAUGUACCUCAAUCUUAAGAUUUAGUAUUUCUUCAAAAGUCCAAUACUCCAUAUGGUCAGCAACACCAGGAGCUCGAUGAACAUAUUCCUCCCAUGGAGGGUCCACCAGAAUAACAUCAAACUUGGUUCCAAAGAACUCUGGAGACAGCUCAAACUCGUGUAGGUCGCAUUUCAUGUACAUGGGAGGAGAAGCAGAUUGAGCCACAAUCUCAUCCUUUUUCUGUAUAAGCUCCCUAAGCUUGGGAUAAUCCUCUACAACAUUGGUCAGCUCUAGCUCUCUGAUAAAGUUCUGGGGUCGCAUACCAGUAUCAACAAAAUUCUGUGAGUAAUCAUUCUGCUCUCCUCUUGAAGGAGCUUUACCUGGAGGACCGUUAUUUCUAGGAGGAAUCCAACCCCCAGCAUUUUGAUCUGGUGGUGUUCCUCGUCCUACUGGUCCAGAAGCAUUAAAACCAGGACCAGGUAUGCUUGGAGGCAUUCCCCUGCCAGGUCCUGCUUGAUUAAAAAACAUAGCAGGGUUUGAUGGAUUUGUUCCCAUGUUAGGGGGAAAUCUUGGCGUUGUGGGCCCAGGAGGAACAGCAGAGAGAGCAGGGGGGACACCAAGCAUAUUCAUCUCCACACCUCGGGCACCAGCCCAAACAACUGGUGAAGAAAAUGGUGGAAUGAAGACACCUGGACUAAUUGGAGGACACGGAGCAGGUGACAUACUAGGAGCAAGAGGCUGAAGUGCUCCAGGUGGUUGCAUUCCAAGAGACCCAAAAGGUGAUCCCAUUAAUGGCAACGGGAGUGUAACCUGUUGGUUAUCUCUCCCAGCAGGCCUCCCCCUUCCUCCUCUCCCUACUCUACUUCCUUUUACUCCCUGUGGAGAACCUCUGCCAAAGGAGCCUGGAUCCUGGUUUCUAUAUGGAGUCUGUGAACCACUGCUAGAACUUUGACCACCAACACCGCGACUGGGCAUGGCCCCCUUUUGGCCUCUCCCUUUCCCUCCCUGGUACUCAACGUCAUCCCUCCAAGAACUCGGAUCUCGCAAUGGUGCAUCAUCAUCCAUAUACUUGUCCUUUGAGUCUCCAAGAAAAGGUGAGUCAUUCCUUCUUGCCCUUUCACCUUGCAUGUAUGCCCACUCUUCAGUGUUUGGUGCUGAUUUUACAUCAGACUGCUGACUGACCUCAAUCCUCCUAGCAAAGUUGGAUCUAGCCUCUGGUCGUCCAUGAUCAAGCGGGACCUCUAUCACAUCAUAAUUAUCAUUUGAAAUCCCAAAAUUUGAGGAGGUUUUCACAGCUUCACCCCUGCUUCGACCAUGAGGCCUUUCAUUGUCAUUCCUUUCACGACCAUGUCUUGGCUCCCAGUCUCUUCCACGAUCAUAAGCAAUGUCCCCGUCUUUUGGCUCCCUAUCAUUACCAGAAGGUUGUCUUCUUUUCCAGUUCUCUUUGGAACUUUCCCGAUCCCUAUUCCUGUCAUUCCAGCUGUCAUCCCUGCCUUUCGAUCUAUCAUCCCUGUAGCCAUCCUUUUCUUGAUCCUUCCGUCUUGUGUCAACAUCUCUUUCAUACUCUAUUUCAGAAUGUUGAGAUUCUUGAUGAUGCCUAAUGCUCCUCUCGGGAGUCCUGGACCUAUUAGACCGCCCUACUUCUCUUGCACUUUUAUCUCCCACCCACGUGUUUCCAUCUUCUUCUGCAUUGGAGGACCUUUCACGGCUUUCAGAAACAUCUUUUCUAGUGGGAGUUCUCUGCUCUCUAUGCUUCUCAAUUUUCUCCCGACCUGAUCUAUCUUCACGGGUGAUAGGACUAGCCCCGUUAUCUUCUUUGGCAGCUUCUGACCUGCUUUUACUCUUAUUCUUCUCCCUGUCUGCAUCAGCUCUUUUGUCAUCUCUGUUGCUAGUUUUGGCGCCCUUUUCACUGUUUGAAUCCAAACCCCUGCUUUUACUCUCACUAGGUUCGAUUCUACCACUUCUUUCUUUAGACUCGUGAUUGGAAUCAGACAUCUUUCCACUUAUGAAAUCAGACUUUUCAUGAUGAUUUUCUUCGGCUUUUCUGUUGGAGUCAGAUUCAUCCCACCUUCUCCUAGAAUUUUUCCCUGUCUCAGCAGAACCGUGACCUUUAUCUCGGCUGCUAUCCUUCCUUUCUGAAUAUCUAGAAUCUCUACCCAGUGCCUUUUCAAUCUCUCCAUCAUAGGAUCUUUCUUCUCUACUUUUACUUGCCUUACGGGAACUCUCAUGCUCCAAGAUCUUUGAUAUCAUUUUCCUUCUCUCACUUUCAUCAGGGCGACCAUGGCCUUUACCAACAGACUUGUCACCUCCACUCUGCUUGUUGUCUAAUUCUCCAUCCUGAUACCAACUGCUCAAUUUUUCCAAACUACUUUCCUCCUGUUUUUUCUUCAUCUGCUUAGACCGCAUCUCUUUUCUCGUCUCAUAAUCAUCUUCAUCACUACCCACUUUACUUGACCCACCACCACCUGACCUCUUACGACUAUCAUUCCUGUCCCCGCCUGAAGUUCUCCUUCUCCCACCCCCAUCGAAUCCUUCAGCAUCCUCCCCAUUGGUGGACAUCCUAGACUUGAUAGACCUGUGUUUCCUCUUAUCACUCACAUCCCAUUCUUCAUCAUCCCCGCCCCUAUCACUCUUCACAUCUGAACUAUCUUCUACAUCCUUUCUCCCAUAACUACGACUAGAACGUUCAGGCGAUUCCAUGGCAAUCAAUAAAAGAACUAUUCAAGGAUCAAUAAAAAACACUGACAACGAGAUUAAAAGAGUUGAAAUUUACAAAUUAAACAAACUCUAUAAAACAGAAAAUUUCUAGAGGUAAUAAAAUAGUAAGAAAGGAGCAGGCAAGCGAGGUCAAGUCCAUUCAAGGGGGUCCAGUUGAAUAAUAAAAAAAAAUCAAAACUUUGGGAUUGCUUCGAAGUUUAAUGACCUAACUGAGAGAAGGAAAAAGAAAAGAAACUAUUUUUAUUGCAAUUGGACAAAGAAAAGAAAUUUAGGAGCAUUGCGUUCAACUAAAUUCAAAUUAAAGAAGAAAAUUCGAGAAAUAAGAGUUAAUAGGAAACCUGAUCUGAUGAUUAGUGGGGAGAAGGGAAGGAAGGUUUUGGAUUUUGCUGAAGAAAUCAAUCAAUGAAUUAAUGCAUUGAUGAAGCUGAAAUAGACAAGGAAACCAGCACCCUGCCCUGCCCCUCUUCCUCUGAGAUUGAAUUUCUCAUGUUAGAGACUGAAGAACAAAAAACAAAUUAGGGUUUUUCGUUCUUCGGCAACAGAGACUAGUUUCAAAUUGCUGCUUCCACCUUUGACAUUUGCAUGCCUGGGCCGUGCCAGGUAUAGUAUGAGCUGGGAAGUCUGAAUGGGCCUUCUUCUUUAGUUCGAGCCCCUACCAGGUACAGUUUGCAUCGCAGCCCCUGAACUAAUAAUAUGUUUUCUUCAAUCGGUUCAGUUUAAUUAUGUUGUUAAUCUUGAAUCUUAACCCACAUAUCAUAUCAUGUUAUGAAGAAUGCAUGUAUAAUUAGAAUUAACAGAUUGUAUGAUAACAUUGGAAUUGAAACAUGGACAGAUUAUAUGCCAUGUCAUGGUAGCAUGACAAGGCAUGAGCGGGGAGCCACCUCUGCAUGACAUAGCAUUCAAUGCCAUGUAUAGAUGGACAUAGUCACAUGAGCAUGGGGAUGGGGAUGGUCGGUAGAGACUGAUGACGGAUCCAUUAUUAUAUAAUCAGUAGAAAUUAAUAUUGAUAGCAUACAUACAUAACUAGUGGCUGCUGAAGUUCUUGUCAUGGGUCAGAUAUUAGCUAUGCGAGGCUGAUGGGCGUUAAAUUGCCAUUCUAAGGAGAGAACUAGCGAGCUACCCAGCAAAAAAAUAUAUACAUCCCACGGAUCCCAGUGCCCCCCCACACCCCCCCCCCACACACACACUAGACGUGGCUGUAACUGUAUAUAUUAUGGGUCCACGUAUUUUUCAUAAAAAAACGAUGAUUGUGCUUUUUUUUUUAAAUAAUAAUAAUGAUUCAGGUUAUACUAUAAGUUGAUUUUUUUUCAUUAGAUAAAAAAAAAGAUAAUGAUAGUAAACAUAUAAUUUAAAUAAAAAAAGAAUCACGAUAACUUAAAAAAACUUUGGAAUUAUGAAAUUAAAUAAAAAAAACUUGGCCCGGGUCAACCCAACAUAGCAUGAUAGAUAUAUAAUCUGGAUAAUAAGGGGCGAGCCAUUCAGGUUAAUUCACCAAAUCAGCAAAUCCACAAUACAUAAUGAGAUCAAGAUAAUAUGAUAGAAAAGAAACAAAAAAAAUCACAAAGUCAAAUAAAAAAAACUAAUGUUGAAUGAUGAAAUAAAAAAAAGAAUAGGUUUAAAAAAAGAUAUCAAUAUGCAUUAACUUUUCAAACGUGUGACUUUGGUUAUCAGACCGAAAGCAUCAUACAUAAAAAAAACAUGAAACUCAAUUCUUAACAAAUCAAACAUUAAAUGAAGAAAUUGAAUAAAAAACAAUCACAUAAAAGGAUUAAAAACAAAAAAUAUUAAUUAAAAUAAUCAAGAUAGAAAUCGAAAUUAAAAAUUAAAUAGAGGGCAACCAUAAUUUUUUUUAAUUAAAGUGUGAAAUUGAAAGAAAAAUAACUUUAAUAAAAUGACAAUAAAAUUAAAAAAAUGAGAAUCAAAUUAGAAAAAUAAUAUAUCAUAUAUUUGGAUUAAGAGAUGAAAUUUAAAAUUAAUAAAAACAAUAUAAGAUAACUUAGAAGAAAAAUAAAAAAUCAAAAGAAUGAAGACCAAAGUGGAAAAACAUAAAAUAAUACAUGACAAAUUAAAAUUAAAGAAUAAAAUUGAAAAAAAAUAAUCAAAACUUUACAAAAAAAAAAAAAUAAGUAUAAAAAAUUAAAAAUUAAAAAAAGAGAGAUCAAAUUCAAAGAAAAACAAUAUUAAAAGAUUGCUUUGAGUCGUCACAUGUAUUGUACAAGGAUAGAAGACGAAUGGAAUACUUUCUAGGCAGCUAAUAUUUAGCAACCAAGAAAUGCCACACGUGCCUCUUGAAGAUUGUGACCAAACAGGAUAGCAAUUUUUUUUUAUUAAAAAAAAUUAUUAUAAUUUCUGACCAACCUACCUCCUAUUCCACUUAAUAAUAACGAAAAAAUAAAGGAACUAAAAAGACAAACUAAUCUGAGACCAAAGGCAAGGUUUUUUUUAAAAAAAAUUAAAGGCAAUAAAGUAAAUUAAUUGUACUUUCAAAAGGAAAAACCUGAAAUUGUCUAUAAGCGCCGAGUUUUUUUUUCUUUUUCUGGAAAGACAUUUUUGUAGUUUAAAUCCUCGUAAAAAGGAAGAAGAAGAUCCUCCUACUACCAUCAGGCAGCCAACUAUCUUCGGUUCGAGGCGUAACAACAUAAAUGCAUUGCUCCUAUAUACAGUGCACAUGAGUCAUGAUCUACAGUGUGAUCUGCAUUGUUUUUACCCUUCCUCUUUUAGUUUAAUUUGUUGUGUACACACACACCCACAGUCACUCACUCAUAAACUUUGAUUUACAGAUUGGGUGGUAGAAAAACAUCAUUAGUUGUUAAGCAUCUUAAUUUCAACGCCAAUAUCACAUCACGAGGAUGCCCAAAAAUAUAAAUUAAUACACGCAUGUAUAAACAUUUAUAUAUAACUAACACCAGCACUCCCCUCACGAGCUUCCUAGCACUUAAUUGGCAAACCAGGCAUCAUCAAACCACCUCCAAGCUCUCUUUACAAGUACAUGGGCCACCCCGGCCCGACAACAUUUCCAGAAAGAACUCACGGGACGGGACAGUAGUGCUCUUCAAGCAACAGAGAUUUUGAUCAGUUCUUUGGACAACAUUAACGACAUUACUGGGACAUUCUAAUCUGUAACGAUCGAGUAAAUUAUUAUUAUGCAUGAAUGAAUGAAUGGAUGUUAUCCAAGAACUAGCAAAACUCCUCUUAUGCAUGCGUCCAGAUAUUAUCCCAUUCAAUUAACCUCCACAACAAACUCCUUGUCCUCCUCCAACCUCUCCAUAGCUCCAGCUUCCAAGCUUAUCUCCGCAUCAAUACUCCUUCCACCACUCUUCCCUCGAUACAGAUACACCAUUCCAUCGAACCUGUUAUUGAUUCCACUCCUCACCGUCUCUGGCUUUCCCCACCCAAAAUCCACCUCAUAAACUGGAAACCUUGGCGAGCUCCCAACAGAGACACAGUUAACACCCGCAUCUUUGAACUGAAAUAUCUUUGGUGACCUUUCAAACUGCCUGUUACGCUCUUCAAUGGCUUUAGCAUCGUGCAUCUCAAUGGCUUUUUGUAUCAUGGAAGCUCCAAACUCAGGUGGGUUCAUCGACAGCAACCCGACAGCGGUCACCGUGUAUACGGCCUGAAUUAGGUUACCAAAGUAACUUUCCGGCAUUGGCGGGUCGACCCUUUUGCGGCAGUCAGCGAAGACAGUGAAGACCGUGUGGUCUUCAGGCUUAAGCUGACGCGCUUGUGUUACAUGGCGCCACAUAUGGACAGCAAGUGAUUGAAAAGUCGAGAAUGGUUUUGAGCCGUCGGAUGGUGGGUUUGAGUUGACUUUUGACUUGAUCUUGUCAAUUGCUGAUUCAGAGAAUUUGAAGACUCGCUCUCUGAGUGGCGGAUCAACAGGCUUAGCGUCAGCAGUGCCGUUGGAUGAUGCAUUUUGUGCGUCCUGAUCUGGCGGUGGUGGGUGUAGCUUUACUUUAGUGUUUCUCACUUUGGUGCGGUCCAGGAAAGGCAAGACAGUGACUGAAGGCAGCCCACUGCAAAUCUGGGCCCAUGAACUCAUAAAGUGCCACGUGGAGGUCCCAUCAAUGAUGGCAUGGUUGAAGGCCAACCCCAUUGCUAGUCCAUCUUCCAGCUUGGUUAGCUGCAAGCAAUAUUUAGCAGCAUCCUCCAGAAAUUAAAUAUUUAGCUCACACUACAUACGAAUAUAUAUAUAUAUAGAGAGAGAGAGAGAGAGAGAGGAUAGGGUUCUAAUCGGGUUAUGUGAAAACAAAUUCAUAGAUAAAUGUACACAAAGUAGUUGGAACAUUAACUAUGGAAUCGUAUCUUAAAAUUAUUUCUUCUUAAAUCAAAUUUAAUAGUGUUUUUUUUUUUUUUGUCAAAUUGUAUUUUUGAAAAUUAUUUUUUAGUUUUAAAUUAAUUUAUUUUAUGAUUUUAAAUUAUUUUAUUAUGAUAUUAAAAAUAAAAUAAAAAUAUAUUAUUUUAAUACAUUUUUAAAUAAAAAAAUAAAAACCACCGCACAGCAAUUUAAAACAAAACGAAAGAGUCCAACUCAACCCUUUUUGCCUAAGUUCAUGUUCUGCUUGCCUCCUGCAUUCUGCAGGUAUCUACCAAAUUAGAUUAACAUAUUCUUAAUUAGUAGCCAAAAUUAAUAGAAGGCAUCUACUUGAUUACAUGCAUAAAUCAAUGUCUUACGAAAUGUUACCUGCAUCAACAAUAAUGGUCUGUGGAGUCCCUCAGAGUUCAAGAUCCCAUUGUAAGGUAUGAGCUCCUUCAACGUGGAGGUACCCAGCUCAACAGCUAGAUCCUCCACACUGAUCCACUCAGCAUUGGCCUCCACCACCUCAACACCCUCCAUAUCAUCGUCAUAUUCUACACUGAGCACCCCUUCUUCAUCUCUUGCUAGUUUCCCGGCCAGUUGGUAGAAAUCCUCCAAGACAGCUCCAAGCCCAUCCUUCAGCUUCCCUACCAUGUCCUCAUACUCAUUUCCCUUGUAAACUAACAACUUCUGGUUGUAGUGAAAUGCAAUGUAUGGAAGAUCAAAGGUCACCAAUCGACAUUCCCUUCUUCCUAGUUUUUUGCUGGGCUUGACAUGGGAUUUGCUAGUUAUUUUCACCUUCAUGAUCUCCUCCUCCUUAUAUUCUGCCUCGGGGGCCAUUACUGAUUGUUGAUGGUAUUCAGGAGUGUGCCUAAUUAAAGCUGAGAAAGAAGCUUGUGCUUCAGGACCUACACAAGACAGACAGAUAAUCUGUGUGGUUAUGGAAAGCUGAAGAGAGAGACAAGGGAUACUUAUAGAAGAUGUGAUUCUGGUGUGGUUGGGAGUCAUUAAUGGAUUUCAUGGGAGCGGUUGUGUCCCAUUAAUAUUUGGGAUUUGAUCAGACAGACUGUUAGUUAGGGAAAAACUUGAUGAGAUCGGUAAGAUAGAGGUUCUCUCUCCUUACAAAUAUUAAUUGCCUGUUGCAAAUUUAUGAAUGCCAACAUAAAUCACCUCAAAAUUUGUUUUCUCUAGCUAGCUAGUGCCCUGCACCAGUCUAUAUGUGGGGCUGUAAGAACCUGGACCCAGUGCUUCAAGUGUUUGCACCAUGCAUGCAUGGAUGCUAUGGAUAUAUAUAGAGGCAGCAUAUAUACAUGGAUAUGCUAUGAAAGUGUUCAUGUUCCCAGAGAAAACAGACCUCGAAGGAAAAAAAUAGUUUCGAUACAAAUCUUGCAGGCAGCCCCGGCCCACAUAGACCAGCAAUUAAUCAGGUCCGGGCUGCACUUGUCGUCCAGGUGAUCAAUAAAUUUGAAGAGAUUAAGUGCGGGCAGGAUGAUCGAUGUCGUUCCAAUGGAUGCACAUUUCCUUCCUUGUCGGCAAAUUAGGUUGGGGAUUUUACGUUGAAUUUUAUGAGGAUGACCAUCGAGAUCAAGUCGAGGAAUUCUCACAGUACAAUUUAGAAGUUCACACAUGUAUACGACCCUUACUCUUAGCAAGGACCGGCCAAUUAUGCGACCGACGGGAAUAAUGAUUGCGGAGAUGAUGGGCUAAAUGAAAGCUUUUUUAAGUUUAAAUUAAUUUAUAUUAAAUUACAUUUAAUCUUAUUAAUAAAAAUAAAAAUAAUAAGAUUUAAACUAUAAAAACUCCGCCUAAACAUAUAAGAUUUAAAGGGAGGACACAAGAAUAAUUUCAUCAAGAACAUGAGAAUCAAAUCAAUUUAAAGCACUGUAUGAGAGGGGGGGCUGGCAAAUGACAUUAUUGAAAAGGUUCCAUCGAUGCAGGUAGAAGAAAACCCGCAUCGAGCUAGCUCCUACCUACGCAUGCGGAGAUUAAUUAUUUAAGGCAAUUAAAGCAAUGACUUUAAUUCCAAGCAAUAAAUGAUUCACCUCCUAAAUAAAUUAUUUGCUAGAAAAGAAAGAAAGAAAGUUGCAAGGAAGGGCUUCCAUUCCAGCUUGAUGCUGCCACUUCAAUAAACAUCCAUUAACGACACUUUCAUGUACAUGACGGCUGCAUGCAUGUGACAAUUUAUCACAGCAUGCAUCAGCACCGUCCGUCAACGUGUGGAGCCAGGGAGAAUUGACUGCAUCCAAAAUCUCUUUUCCUAGGCUUCGUUGCUAUUUGCUAAAGCUCUAGCUAGCAUUCGUUCAUCUUGUUGAAUCGCCUCGCCCCUCCUUCACCGAUAACACCAUGCCACCAAUUACCCUCUUCGUCUCCUCUCUCAAGUUUCAUCUUCCAAUUUCUUUUCCUUUCUCUUUUUUUGAAAAAACAAAUCCAUCCUUCAAGUUUCUUCUCUUUGUUUCCUAUAUCGUAACGCGCACAAAAAAUAAACUAGUUUAUUUCUAAUUCAACAUCUUACCUUUGAUUAGAUUAGAUUAAUAUAUUAAUUAGACCUACAUAAACACGGGGUUUGUAAUUUGCUUCUAUUUUUCUUUGGGAAUAGAAACUAUUGUGGCUUUAUUUCAAUAGAAAGUCUUUUCUAUAUAUUUAUACAUAAAUAAACACCUAAAAAAUAUUAUAAGAACAUAAAUAACUUAUAACAUCAAAUGAGCUAAAAAUUAAUUGAAAAUAAAAAAUUAACCCGAAUUGAUAAAAUUUCUCGAGCCCAGAUUUGUUAUUACAGGCAAAGUGAAAGCCAAAAAACAACCUAAUAAAACUUCUAUCAUCGAAUGAAAUCUUUUGACAUCAAGAUUGAUCUCUUUUCAUGGUUGAAAUUGUUGUCAGCUGACUAUUUUCUCUUUCGUCACCUUCUCAAACGAGUUUCUCUCUACUCUCUUUAACCAAGAGACUACAAAUAAAGAGAAUGAACUUUUGGACCAAAAUAAUAAUUAUCGUUAAUAUAAGGUUAGCUAUAUAUUUUCUUAAUACAUAAUUUCUUCUAUUUAAGCUAUAAAAGGUAUGAAUGAAGAAAUAAAGUUAGUUCUGGAGGCUAUUCAAAAUAAACUCAGCACGAAAAGUUUCUUGCUUCAUCGUCGCUUAGUGUUGGAGGCUCAAACAACUUGCAACCUUUGUGGUAUACGUAUUUAGAACACUGACCACCUUUUCAUUCAUUGUGAUUUUGCUUGGAAUAUUUGGAUGAGAAUUCUAUCUUGGUUGGGAAUUAGUGGAUGUUUUUCCUAGGUGUUUUGAUGACAAGUUAUAUCAAUGGUCUGCGCUGGUUACUAGAAAUUUUCAAAAAGAGCUUGGAAGUUUUUAUCCUUAUGCACAACCUAGAAUAUAUGGCUAGAUUGAAAUAAUAUUAUCUUUCAAGAGGGUACUGCAGAUCUUGAUUCCUACUUUAUCUUGAUCCUUCACCAUCUUUUUUAUUGGUUGAAGUCCUAUAAUCAUCAGCUCGUAUAUUCGGGAUUUAAUAUUCUAAUCAGUGCAGAUGAUAUUAAGUUUUGGACAAACCAAUAUAAGAUUUACUAAUGUUUUGAUUUGAUUUGUUUAUUUUUCUUUUUCAUAUUUCGAUGUUUGUUUCCUCAUCUUUUUUUUUUAUGGCUAUUGCCUAAAUAACCAUGUUUUUAAUAAAAAUCGAUCAUUAUAAAAAAGAAAAGAAAAAAAGAUGCUGUGGGUCUUCACAUGGGUGGCUUAUAUUUGUAGAAAAGAAUUAUGGAAUUACUCUUUAAUUUCAACCCCUUCAAUGCAGGUUUCAUUCGUCUCCCUCCUGUCAAUAUAACUUAUCUUCAUUCAGGGAAUGAGAUUGACAUCAAUUGUCCACUUCCUUAUGUCCGGAUGAGCACGAGCGAGCUGGUUGUAGCAAUCUUCGGUGAUUAUUAUUGGUUGUCCUAUUUCAAGUCCGGUCAUAAAUCGUGGAAGCAUGCAUGGAUGUACAAGGGAGAGGUCUACCCCUCUCAGAUGUUAUUUACUACAAAUGUGUGAUAUACGUUGUGGGUAACAGGAGCCAAGUUGUGUCCCUUGAUACUUCAGCACCGAACCCGAAACUAAAGAUGGUUACACCCGAGAUGACGUGCGUGGGCGAGGAAUACGUAUCUUGUAGAGUCAUCGAAGGGAGAGUCGCUUUUUGUUAAGAGGAUUUUGAAAAAGAAAGAUGACGAGUUUCAGGAUGUUCCCUCAAAGUUUGAGGUCUUUAAACUUAUAGUACCAGAUUCUUUAAACAACAGUCAUCAACAAAUUAAUUAAGAUCGUUGAGAUAGAGAGCUUAUAAGGUGAUGAUGCAAUAUUCUUGUGUGACAACUAUUCCAUGUCGGUUUCGGCUUUAGACUUCCCUGGAUGCCUACCAAACUCUAUUUACUUCACUGAUGAUUACAUUCUCCUUUGGCGUUGUGAACCUUUUGGACCUCGAUCGUGACAUUGGCGUUUUCAACAUGGAGGAUGGAAGUAUUCGAUUACAUUACACUCCAAACAUUGCCCACAAGGACUUGCCGCCACCGUGCCAACACCGAACAUUUAACACCUAUAAUCUAUUUGUCAUGUAAUGUUAUUUGGUUGCGGCUCGUUUUCCCCUGUUAGAGCGUAUUUGUCAGUGUGGUUGCAGGUGCUUUUCAAAUAGCUUUUCGUGCCGAAAUGCAUGCCAAUGAUGUUUUUUUAUUUUUUAAAAAUCAUUUUUGACAUCAGCACAUCAAAACGAUCCAAAAAGUACAAACCGCACUCAAUUUUAGCAAAAAAAAAAUAAUUUAAAUUUGGACAAAACGCAGUUACAAACGCAAUACCAAACGUUCUCUUAAUCAACCCGAUCAUAUACUUAGUUUUUUUCUUGUUGUAAAUUGAUGAAACUGCGUUGUAUAUUGUCAGUUGGUCAUGAAAAUUUUAUUGAUGGGAGUAGAAUUACACAAGGUAGAGUGUUUAGAACAUUAUGGUAGGCAUUGGACGUGCAAUAAAUAUUGAGUGUUUGCAGCGGAUGAUUAAUAGGAAAAGUCAGGCGGCAAGGCAGCCAUCUUGCGCGCAGGGUGCUAGGAGACAAUUGGAGAUACUCCUGUAAAGACCACAACUCUUCUGUUUUCAAGUUUUGAAUAUUAUAUGAUAUAAUUCUAUUUUUUUCAACUUCUGUUUGCUUAAGAUAAGCACAACAAUUAUCCUAUUGUGAAUUCUCUUUAUAUAUAUACAUCAGUAACGGAAUCAUCCCUUUAAUUAACCUUGUAAACAGUUCUUUCUUUAUUGCUUGAAACAUGGUAUUAGAGCCAUCUAUGGCGAUCCUCUCAUGCUUCCCGAUCAACUACCUUCAUAUUUCUCAACCCCUCCCCUCCAGAAAUUACUAACAAGACAACGUCUGUGCUAGCUGGAGCCAAAUCCAGCAUAUGCCGAGUGGUUUUAGAAGGAUCAAAAGCUGUUGUCACGGCUUCUGGCUUCUAUCCCUGUGGAGGCUUAUACGUACGUUGUGGAACUCAACAGCUCUUAUGAGGUAAGGCAGAUCCUUGAAAGAUCUUUUGGUUAUGUUUCUGAAAAUAGACUGUUGCAACUUCAUAUUCAACUACAAGAAUUAACCACUGAUGAUGAGUCUGUAGCUCAAUUUCUUUAAGAAGCAAAAUAUAUUGCUGAUGAGUUAGAGGUCUCUGGACACCCUUUGACUCCUUGAAGUUCAAAGCAAUAAUUUAUAAGAAUUAAUCUUGGUUUUGAAUAUAUAUAUCACAAUAUAAUUGCGGACUAUCGGUCCAAGGAAAACAGGUUUCCCUUUUUGAUCUCUAGUAUGAUUCAGAAAUCCAACUCUUCUAGUUCCCCCCCAUCUCAGCAGUCCUCUAAUGCUGGUAGUUGCUCUUUUAUGAACUAUUCUGCAGGCAACAAUUAUUCUGAUGGUUCCAACAGGUCUUAUAACAGCAGCUCUGUGUAAGAGACGUUAUGAAUGUCAGCGUCCCAACAGGUCUUAUAAGAGCACAUCUUUCAAUUCUGCACCACUGUCUCCUAAUGCAUUGCAGCGUUUGAUGAGCUUUUUGGUUGUUUGAACUGUUCUCUUCCUCUUUUUCAUGAGAAUAAUAAUUAAGCGGUAAAUCAUCAUAUAUCCUAGGGGCAGUCACUGGUGACUCAUCCUUGAGGGGCCUUUUGUCUGGUACAGCGCAUAUCCUCGGCAGCAACAUGUCUAUUCAAUAAAGAAGAAAAUGAAUGAAGGAAGGAACAAGAGUAGCAUGCUAUAUAUUCAAUAAAAAGAGAAAGAAAGAAGAUACGGUCAAGGAUCGAGAGAGGAGAGUAGUGCGUGCGUAGAAGAUGCAUGAGUUAAUUUAGGGUUUCUUUCUAAAAUGUGUGUACAUUUAUUUUUAUUUUUAAAUAAUUGGUAUAGCAGCGGCGAACGAACGUGAAAUUCACGCCCAGGCCACGAGUCACCAGUCGACUGAUGAUCUGGAGGUUGCUCAACGUGUGGCAAUAUUUAGGACCAUGCAUAUAUAUCUAAUUGUAUGUAUUGAGUUUACGAUCAUAUCUUAAUAUAUAUAAACUUAGCUAGCUAGCCCAAGUGCCUCGACAAUGAAUAAAAAUUAAAAAUCAAGGUUUAUAGGGAUUACAUUGAAUUUUAUUGACAAAAUCAAUCUUAAGAUUGAUCAUAUUGACACUAUAAGGGCCUUGAUAUAUAUAUAUAUAUAUAGUUUUGUCCGUUAUUGAGUGGAGCUAGGUAGCCGUUUAUUAAUCUUCUUGGCUGCAUGCGUCUCCCAGCUUUGAUCAUAUAUAGAUAACAAUUAAUAAUCGAUGGUAUAUAUGCGCGCAUGUCGUUAAUUUUCCCUUGAAAAUAAAGUUAUAAUGAAACUGCUGGGACCAUAUAUAUAUUAAUUAUUCUAAUGGAUGACUAUAUUCUAUUAUUUUAUAUAUAUAUAUAUAUGCCAUAGAAUUAAUAUAUAUAGCGACUUAAUUUGUUCUGUUUCGAUGACUAUAUAUAUGCUAGCUCUUCCUUUAUAUGCUAGCUCUUCCUUCAUGAUGUUAACGAUCGAGAGGAUGCAAAAAACACAUCGAUCCUUCGUGAUUAGGUUAAAUUAAUAUGAGUGUGUGUGUGUGUGUUCUCACAUAGAUCGAUCCAAAGGUUAUUUAUUAGUUUGUUUAAGCAUAUCCAGAAGCAUUAAUUAUUCUCUCCUUUUUACUGUGGCCAUAGAACAAGAUUAACUUAAUUAUAAGCAACCUUUUAUAUAUAUAUAUAUAUAUAUAUAUAUAUACAAUUAAAUGCUUCUACUAUAAUUAUUCAUUAUAAAAAAGUAAAAAAUAAAAAAGUAAAUUGGUGCAAUUCUGUUAAAAAAGGAGGAGGAAGAAGAUAGGGUGCGAUUUUCAUGCAUAAUUUGGAUACAGUUUUGCGAAAGAUUCGAUUACACUUGGCGUUCAAGAUAGAGGACUAGUUUAAUUUUAGAUUUAAUUAUUGGAAUAUAAAAAAGACAGAUUUGUGAGAUGACAUGUUCCCCUCCUGACAUUUCUAGAUUGUAAAAGAAACAGCAACCGAUAAAGUGUCCAUCUGUCAUGCUCACGUGGACCCCUUCUAGCAAAGUUUAGAGAUCAGAAAGCAUCAUAUCGAAGGCAAGAUCAUCCUCGACUUUCUCUGCCACGUCAUCAGCAACAUGGUCUUCCAAAGCAUCAAUGGCCUCAGCCAAUGCCAGUCCACCUAAGACCCCACCCACCGCACCCACGGCCAAUCCUGUCCCCAUCCCUCCAAACUUACUUUUCUUCUUCUCCUCCACAACCACAGGUUGCUGCUCUCCAUACCCGUAACCCCCAUAACCGUAACUCGGCUGCCCGUAUGUCGGAGGUGGGGGCGCGCUGUACGGAUACCCUGUUGGCGGAGCUGCUGUUGAAUAGUACGGAUUUGGCUGCGGUGGUGGUGCACCAUAGGGUGUCGCGUAAGGGUAGUCUCUCGAAGAUGACGGAGGAGGAACCCCGUAAGGAGGUUCACGGUAAGCAUCAGGAGCACGAUAGCGAGGGUCUCUAAUGGUGACCUUAACGUCGAGUUUCCCCUGUGGUCUGCCGGAAGGACGCUUGAGCUGGAGAGCGCGGGUGGCUCGUUCUCCGAUUUCGACGUCGUCGAGAACGUCAAUGAGCUUGAGCUUAGCGGAGCCGAUGAGGGGCUUGGUGCCCUCCUCGGAGCCGGCGUGGACGAUGUCGAUGUGGAGGGUGUGGUCUUCGAUGCGACCAGAUGGUAAGGGGAUGACCAGAGUUUGGUCCCAAAAAGGAGAGGUGUCGCCUUCGUCGUCGACUUGAGUGGAGCAUUUGUAGUUGGAGUCAACCCACACGACAGCAUAUGGCUUCAAAGAGCCAUGGCGCCAGUUAACGUUUUUGAGGUAUUUGGCAGAAGAGAUGGUGACUUCAAACUCGUAUCGAGAAGCCAUGAUCUGGUCUUUGGAGACUGGAAUGCUUUCUGCAUGCGGCAAGCAGCGUGGCGGGGAUGUAUUUAUAUAUAUAUAGGUUUCAGUACCCGGACUUUGGACUUGUAGUUGGGGUAAGGAGGUAAUUAAUGGUCUAGAAUGCCCUUGUGAUUUGUUUGCGUUUGCCCAUAUAUAUCCAUUCAGCACCAGUGUGGUAAUUUUGUAUGGUAGGUGAAGGUGAUUAAUUCCUUAAUGCGCAUGGCAGUAACGGCUAAGAAUGUAAUUUUAGGCGAAAGAUAAGGAUUUCUGGGACAGGUACUUUUUCUCUUUCCUUUUUGAUUUUGAUUCUUCCAUGUAUAAAAGAAGGCAUGAUAAUAGCAUCUAUGCUAUUUUGAAGUGUCAAAAUAUUAAUAUGAUAUUUUAAAUAUAGUAUAUAUUUCAAAGUAAAAUUAAAAGCCAUUAAUUUGAAGAGUCACUUGUGUAUUGAAGAGGAAGAAGAAAUUAAGUAGCACGGAGUUUUGAAGUUAUUUUCUUUUCACAUCGACCGCUUGUCGUCUAUCUUACCAGCUGGCUUGUUGGUUUUGAUAUUUUUUGGAAUAAAUAGAAAUAGCUUUCAUAAUGCAUUCCCAUUAAUUAAUGGAGCUAUUAAUUAAGAGGAAGAGGCUAAAAGAUAGUUCUUUAAUUAGCUGUGCUUCUUCUUUUACCUCCUGCGUUGCGUUUGGAGAUGCCCUAAUGCUUAAAGCUGGAUGUUCUUUAACCAAAAUCCGGGACAAGGCAAGGCAUAAAUGCGAUAGGAAUUAGGAUGCAGCAAAGCAAAAGGCAGAGAAGAGUAUAAUUCAUAGAUGCUUCUUCUAGGCUUACACGCGGGUUCAACACGGGAAGCAAGCAUUGAGAUAGACCGGCCAUGGCUCGUAGGGCCAGAAACAUAAUUUUCAUAAUCAAAUUAUUCCCUUCUCUUUCUUUAUAAGCGGCCCGGCCCGUGUGCUUAAAAUCUGGCUGGUGUGUCUUCAGCAAUCCUUUCUUGUUUUUUUUUAAUUUCAAAUUCAGACCAUUAAGUUUUAAUUAUUGUUUUUUAAUCAUUUUUCUUUUUGUUGAAAUUUUGUUUACUUUUAAUUUUACAUUGGUUCUUAAUAUGUAUAUAUAAGGAGCUUCAAUCCAGUCCUUUUACUUUUCCUUUACUCUUUUGUAAAAAAAUUUAAUGAUUGUAAUUUGAUGAUUCAAAUCAAGUUUAUGAUUUUUAUUUUUUUAAUAAUAAUAUUAAUUUCAAUUUAGUCCCUUUUUUUUUAUUUCUUAUUGUUUUUCUUGGUCCUUUUAUCAAAGUUUUUAUAAUUUAUAGUUCUAUCCUUCAAAUCAAGUUCAUGAUUUUUAUUUUUUUAAUAAUAAUAAUAAUAAUAGAAGUAAUAACACUAAUAAUUGCAAUAAUAAUCAUGGUAAUAUUGAUGAUGAUGAUUAUAAUUGCAAUGUUAGUUAUAAUAAUAAUGAUGGUGGUUGUUAUAUUAUUAUAAAAAAUAUGAUGAAAAUAAUAAUAUUAUCGAUAAUGAUACCAGCAACAACAUUAAUUAAAUUAGUAAUAAUAAUAAUGAUGGUGAUUGUAAUAAUAUUAGUAAUGAUAGUUGUGGCAACAAUAAUAAUAGUAAUAAUAGUUAAAAAACAAAAUAAGUAGUAGUUGUUGUAGUGUUGUGGUGACAACAAUACUACUGUUGUUAUUACUGCUACUACUAUUAUAAAUAAUAAUAAUAAUAAUGACACGAGAGAGAAGAAGAUGGGGAAAAAGAAUAAUGAUGAUAAUAAAAAUAUGUUAUAAUAAUAGUGAUAACGACAAUACCAAUAACAAUAACAACAACAAUGAUGAUGAUGAUUAUGGUGUUGUUGUUAAAAUAGUAAUAAUAUUAAUAUGAAUGUUGCUAUUAUUAUUAAUAAUGAUAAUACUAGCAAUAAUUGUGGUAAUAAUAACAACAACAACAACAAUAAUAAUUUUAAUAAUAAUAUAAAUAAUUAUGAUGGUCAUAAUAAUAAUAAUAGUAAUAAUGAUGGUAUUACUUAUUAAUAAUAGUAGUUAUAGUGAUCUUGAUUCUAAUUUUUUGAAUUAUUAUUUUUUAAAAUCUUUUGGUAUGAUUUUUUUUAAUUCAUCAUUUAAUAUUUAUUUGUUUUUGAAAUUGAACCUUGUGAUUUUUCUAGAUUGGAUGCUUCAAGUUUAAUGACUUAGUUCAUGGGUUUAAAAUGUUAAAAUAUUUAUAAAAAAAAGCUUUAUAAUUCUUUUUAUUUUUAACCGGGUUAUUCCAGUUAUAUAUUUUAAAUUGUGGGUUUGAUGAGAUGUCACGUGUUGGCUUAAGUCUAAUUAACAUUUUUACGUAUUUGUUAUAAAUGGUUUAUUUUAUUAUUUUUUUGCUUAUUUUCAGUACAUGAACAUUAUUUUUUGUUCAAAAAAUUAUUCAGCCCCGUAGCGAAGCGUGAAUACGAAGGCUAAUCUACACUAAACAGUAUUUAUCUAAAAGAACUUGCCUAAGAAAGGAAAUGAGUAUUGCAUGCAUACUAUAUUAUAAAAUUAUAAGAUGGAUACUAUAAUUGAAAGUCUUGAACUUGCUGGGUUACAAUAAUAAGACUAAUGGAGUUGAGAGCCUUUGUUAUUCAAAUAAUGUGAUGGGUGAUAUAUAUCUACGUUUAGGUAGCAGUAGCACCAUGACAAGUUCGGUUUAAAGUGAAUAUAUAGAGAUUUUGAAUAGAGGACCUUUUAAAAUAUUAAAAAACCACAUGUAUUUUUCAUUAUUUUUCAUGUAUAUUUAACAAGCGAAGCCUUGAGAAUUUUUGAUUAUAUAUGUAAUUAGGAUCUUUUAUCAAGUAAGAGCAAUCUACAAGUAUAAUUAAUAAAUAUAUGUUAUUUAUUUUUAGGCCUUUAAUUUUAUCAAGUGAGAGCUUUGAACCAUUAUAUAUAUCUAAAUGACUCUUCGCUUAAGUCGGCUAUGACCGUAGGCUAAACUAGGCAAACUCCAUCCUAAGGAAGUUAUUAGCUUGCACACCCGUGGUGAAUGGCCAUCUACGGCUCCGUUAUAAACAAAGAUUUAAUUAUAGUGCAAAAACAUUUGACGAUCUCAUUGGAUGUAAACUAACAUUCUCGCUUUGAUCACACGAAGACAAGAUCUAAACAAAUAUGUGAAAUUCAUACAAAAUCAAAACUCAAAGCCAUUAAUUAUUUGUGUCUAAAAAUCCCUUUGAAAAUAAGAAAAGUGUCGAUACAUAUAGAUUAGAAGAGGAAAAGUCUUUGAAGAUUUUUGCAAAUGAUUCUCAAGAUGGACAUGGCAUAUAUGCAAUACAUGUACGAAUUUAGCUUUAUACUUAAUGGAACAUGCCUGCCCGUACAACUUAAGGUAAAAAAUAGUUAGGCAAACUUUUGCAUUCAAAUUAAGUGGUUAAUUUCCUAUAUAUAUAUAUGGACAAACUUGAAGUUACCCUUAAUUUAUUUUAAGAAUUAGUAUCAAUUUGUUUCACGUAAAAUAACUUACUUAAAAAAAAAUAAAAUAUCUGGCUAUUGUAAUGAAAUCUUUCUAGAAAUAAGUAUGUAUUUGGUAUUUGUUAAAUAAGUGAUAAAAAGGAAAAUAAAAAAAUUACGGGUCUAGCUUAGUGAUAAAAAUAAUAAAGUAAACUACUUUUUUGAGAUGGUUUAAGGCCACGCUUGAUUAAUGUUUCAAUAUAAAAAAAGGUAAAAAAAUUAACAAAUAGUUUAAGGUUACAUUUGAUAAAUGUUUCAGUAUGGUAAACCAACAGAUGAAGAAAUGAAAAAAAAAACAUAUUUUAUUAGAGGAGUAAAGACACAAAGACAUAAAACAGAUAAAAAAAGGACAAAAACAUACUUUAUUAAAAUAAUAAUUAUAUAAAAAUAUAAAAUAAAUUUAUUUUUAUUAUUUCUAUCAUUCUUACAUAGAGAUAGUUAUCAACCAAUACCUUAAAAACUGCAUCAAGUCUUUUUCUCUUCCUAUUUUUCCUUUUAAGAGUGUCUAAAGCUAAUUAAUAGAUAUUGGGCCAUAUGAGGCUUUACACAAUGCCAAGUAAUUGAUAUUGGGCCGAAUUGGAAGCUCAAAUGUAAAACCCUAACUAAAGCGUGAAAAACCCAAAGGAAAGAAGAAGCUCCGCGACCUCCCUACACCGCUUCUUCACCUUCUUCUUCUUUGGCCAAAAAUGGUGUGGUCUCGUCUCCUCCCAAAACCCUCCCAUAUCCGUCUCCUCUCUAGAUCCCUGAUAACUCCACGACCUCAUAACUCCACCUCCUCCACUUUCCUCCUACUCAGCAGACCCUUUUCUACUAACGACGACGACGACAACAACAACAACAACAAAAGAGACCAGCCAGGCUACAACAUCUGGCAACUUUCCGGAGAAAAUGAAGGAAAUUUCGAUUCCUUCUUCCCCCAAGAAUCGGACACUGGCGUUCCUGGCAUCACCGAUUCACCUGUGACCGCCAAGGGGGAGGAUGAAGAGUCGUGGCUAAAAGAAGAUGAAAAUGGUGACGACGGAGGUCGAUAUAUAUUUGAUCGACUCGAGAAAGAUGUGAUUAAUGAAAGGAGCGUUAGUGAUAUUGGUGGUGGUGGUGGUGAGUGGCGGACUUCAUCGUUGGGGGUGAAGCAGUGGAGUUUUGAGGAGGAGGAGAAGGAGGAUAAGGUGUUUGAUUUUGGAGAGGGUGUGGUACGGAGUGGUGAAGGUAAUAUUAAUUGGGGCGAGAAUGUUCCAAGUGAGAGAAGUGCUGAAGAGGAGAAGAUGCUUGAGAAAGAAAAGGAGGAACUCAAUGCCGUUCUCAAAGGCAAGCAAGCAAGCUCCCCUUUUCAUUUAUUUUCACUUCUUUGAAUGAAUGAAUGAUUAUAUAGGCUUGAAGUAGUUACUGGGUUUUUUUGGGAGAGUAUUGAUAGGGCUGGCUUUAAUGAGUAAAGUUCAAGUCUUUACAUAGCAAUUAUGUCUUUCCCUAUAGAAUAGAGCUUACUGAUUAACGAGUAGAGUGUCAAAAAUGCUAUCUUUGCAUGACGCACAUUUGUAGAAGAAUGAAUUGAGUGAUACACUUGAUAUCUUACUUUGAUGACACAUAGCAUAUUGGACUUUCUGGUCUACAAAUUCUGAAACAUCAUUAAUUUAUCAUGCGAUCCUCUGGACUGUAUAUGCAGCUUAGGUGUCUCCUUGUGCUUGGGACAAUUAACCAAUGACGUUAUGUUAGGCUAUUGAGUUAAUUUAUACACCGGGUUUAGAAUUUCACCCUUACUUGAUUGCCUGCAAGCAGCAAUACUGUUAGAAAUGAAAUACUCGUCAAAGCUAUUCUUUUUACUGCAUUACUCGCACCAUAUAUUGAAGAUGUAAAUAUCUGAAUCACAUCUUGGAAAUAUCAAUAGCAAAACUAUGUGAAAGCAUAUGUAUCAUUGAGCUGUUUUGUCAAAUGGUUUAUUCAAAACUAUUUCACCCGUCAGCAGUUUUCUAUUGUGUUAUUCUUUGUGAAAAUUAUUUUUCAUUUAAUGAAAUUACUGAAUGACAAGGUGCAAUCUGAAAAUUAUUUUCUUGCAUGUUAACUAAUUCAAUCAUAUUCUUUUUCUGCUGGUGGUGGAUCAAGGCUGGUGAUAGUCUCUGAAAGUUUAUAUCGAUCCAUAUUGCAGGUCCAAAUCGUGCUUUUGGUGACCUUAUUGCAGCAUCUGGAAUAACAGAUGCAAUGUUGGACAGUUUAAUUGCCCUCAAGGAUUUUGACGGGGUUGAAGGAUUGCCUCCUUUAAGUGAGUUAGAGGAUAUGCGUUAUGAAAAGAACAUAAUGAAAUCCCCAAGAGCUGAAAUAGAGCGCCAGAAACAGGAAGAAAUUGCUAGAGCUAGAGUGAGACAGGUUGAUGAUAAAGGAAGAGCUUAUGGAACAGGAAGAAGGAAAUGUAGCAUUGCUCGUGUUUGGGUUCAACCUGGUGAUGGAAAAUUCAUUGUUAAUGACAAACAAUUUGAUGUCUAUUUCCCAAUGCUUGAUCAUCGUGCUGCCCUUUUGCGACCUUUCUCUGAGACAAAGACCUUAGGUCUUUGGGAUGUUACAUGUACUGUCAAAGGCGGUGGUGUUUCAGGUGAGCUUAAUUGUUCCUAGUUCACAGAAUAUUACAUAUGUUAUUGUUAUCUCUCUUUUUAAUUAAGGUGCCAUCCGCAAUAGCUCAAGUUAACCCUCUGUAAAAAUUAAAGAAAACUUGUUUUUUCUCUCACUUACAACAUAUAAUCUGGUUUACACCCUUUUUUUUUGUAAUAUGGUACAGAGAUACUUCUCUUGUUGGAUAAAGUGCAUAUAAUUAUUGUAGUUUUCAUUAACUCUUAUUUUUGGUAUUUGACAAGAUUCUUUUCUCCACUUGCAUGGAGUAUAUUGUUACAGGCAAAUAGCUCUUUCUUUUUUAAUAAAAUUUAAGAACAGCUCCAAUUCCAUGAGUACAUGAGAUUAAGUUUAUUCAUGUUAUGGUGCUCUUAUUGUAGCAUCUUCUUAAAAUGCUUUCCUUUCUCUUGGUGGCUUACCUGCCUGUUUUCAUUUAGUGGUUGAUCCAGAAGUUAGUUCAUCACCUGUGUUUUCUUUUCUUGUAUUCUAAUUGCCUUUGAUUGAUAUAUUGAAUCUUAUUUUAAGUUGAUUUUAACAAUGUCUUGUGAAGGCAGCCUCUAAGUUUUUGGAAAGCUCUGUAAGCAAAUUCUUCUGAACUUUGUUGUAGUGAAAGAUGGAAGGGUUGAAAUUGUAAGGGAGUUCAACAUUUUUAGACGUAACUAGCCUUUGAGAAGUGCAGUAUUUUUAUAGUCUUUCAGUGCAAUAUCCAGUUGUCUGCAUGCUCCAUUUUCCCAUUGUUAUCCUUCUCCUGACCAAUGCUCUCCAUUACCUAGCACAGACAGGAUUGUGUCUCAGGAUAUCAGCAUAUUAGUUAAACUAUAGCUGGGAACUGAUGGAUAGUUGAGUUGAGUCAUUCUUGUGGUUGUUGUCAUUGAACCUUUCCCCCACCAUUUAUCCUAAUCCAACUGCUAUUCUCAUUUGUUAUUGCCCACGGUCAUAAAACACUAUCAUUUGUCAUCAGAUAAAAAUCUUUUUUUGUUUUGCUUGCUAGUUUCUGAGCAAGAGAUGAACUCUAUUUCCUAUUCCAUUUGCUUACCUUUUAUCUCAAGUAUAUAAAACUUCGGAUAUGCCAGAAUAUAAGCACAUGUCAUCUUCUACUGUUGCAUGGUGGAAACUCAAAAUCAGAGGUUAGCAUUAUUGCAAUAUGUCUGCAAGGGGUGAUUCUAAUUUAGUGGUAAUUGGUUGGGCACUGAAGUAAAAGCCCUUCUUGAUUUACACAAAUUCAUUUGAAACCAGAUACUCCUAGCUUUCAUGUGUAAUAAUAUUGAGGAUGUCAUUUCACGAAUCAUAGUUCUCUUUAUCUAGCCUUUCCUUGUGUUUCUCUUGGUAUGAAAUUCUUUUUCACACAAUCACAACUACUGCAAUGGAAUUUUGAAUUGUUUUACAUCUAAAGCAUGCGCUUUAUUUAUCUUACUUUUUUUAUGAGUUCCUUGCCAUUUUUUUUGUGAUUGAAUUUUGGCAUUUCAUUAGGUUCCAACUUGUAUCUGUGAAGGUUGUGUUCGAUGAUUGUCUUUUCAGGCCAGAUAUAAGUGAUUGCAGGGGGGUUUUUUAUUUUUGUUUUAUUUUACUUUUUAUCCUUUUUCCCAUCAAAUGGAGAAUGGCUUGACCACUGAUAAUUCUUUAUAACGUCAUGCGUAACGUAUAUGAGAGUUGAGAACCACAUUCUGCACAACUUAAUUUUUAGUUCAAAUCAUUUAUACGGUGACAGGUCAAGUUGGAGCCAUUCAGUUGGGGAUCAGCAGGGCCAUGCAAAACUGGGAACCAGACUUGCGUCCCACACUCAGAAGUGGUAUGCUUAUGAAGCAUAUUGUUUUUGUUUUAAAUGCUUCUCUUUUAUAUCAAGCUUUGCUGUAAUGAAUUCACACGCUAUCUUUUUAAAAAUUAACAUAUUAUUGGCUGUGAAAAUCACACCUCAUUUUGAAUGACAGCACACUGCCUCAUUUUGGUUCCAAACUUGGCUCCUGGCAUUGAAUACUAGUUCGUCUGUGAUGCACUUCUUCCAUCAUAAGCUUCAGGUCUUCACUUGUGUUAGAUAUAAUCGAUAUCUAAUAUGUUUAUUUUUGUGUUACCAGGCGGUUUCUUGACGAGAGAUCCACGUGUGGUUGAAAGGAAAAAACCAGGAAAGGCAAAAGCAAGAAAGAGCUUCCAAUGGGUCAAACGUUAAUCAAAGUACACAAGUUCUGCUCUUUUGUACGACUGCUUGUCCAUGAAACCUCAAUAUUCAAAUUUACAUGAUGACACAAUAGUGUGAGGUUCAUUUGGCUGACAGUGAAAUUUCACAUGGUGGUAGCUUGUAAUCCAUAUUUACAUCACCAGUCUUUGGAGAGCCUGAGAAGAUUUUCUUAUGUUUUCCUAUUCUUUUGUCCUUGAUGAUAUGAAAUGCAACCAUUUCAGAUUUUGUUUAGUUUUCAUGGAAACAUUCCAAAAACCAGUGUUAUUCAAGCCGAAUAACUUGUUUCAGUAGGUGAAACUCGUUUUGCACUUGCAGUAAUGUGCUGUGAAAUUCCUUUCUGAAUACUGUACCUCUUUGUUCGAAUACGUCUCUCAUAUGACGAGAGACUAGUGCACCCUAAAGUUCCACCGCUCCUCUUUCCCCACUUGACUGGGGGAGGGGGUGAGCUGGUGCAGUUGCAAUUUGUAUAGAGAUAAAUAAUAUCUUAUUUAUUUCUCAUAAAUUUAAUUAAUAACUGUCCUCAUGAUUUUAUUUUGUAAGUUAAAAAUCUAUGACUAGUAAUUAGUAAAUAAUCCUGAAAGCAUAUCUGUGGGUCAAUUGUUUUCAACUAAAAAAAUUCUUACUAAAAAAACUUCAAGACAAAAAUGAUCUCUUAAAUGACACUUGGACAUUGGAUUAUAUGAUAUUAGCAUCUCAAUUAAUAGACGGCCAAGUAAACAGUGGGAAACCAAAAAUACAAAGUUUCUUGCAAAUUCUAAAAAUGUUAGGGAUCAAUUUGAGAAUUGACUAAACUAAAGGGACGACCAAAAGCAAAACACAACAUUCGAAGAGAAGGGAUGGAGCUAUACAUGUGGCGGCCUAUUACUACUGGGCUUUGACAAACUCAAAGUAACAGUCUUGGUCCAUUUACCAAACCUUCUUCAGAGAAUAAGGCCAUGCCAUUCAAAGAAAAAACCCUAAACCCUAAAAUCAGACUAUAAAGUGAGGUCGCGUUGAGCGGCAAAAGCUCGGUGUUCGCCUCCCUCCCAUCUGUUUGCAGCUCAAGCCUACUUCUUUUCUCUCUACUUUCUUCUAAGUCUUAGCGGCAGAAGCAGAGAUGGCUCCCCCAAGAGGUAGAUAAAGUUUUUCACUUUUUUCUUGUUGCAUGGCUUGAUAAUUGUGUCGUUUGCUCUCCCAGUUCACAGCUAAAGUGAUGACAUUUUAUCAAUGGUUUGUCUUAUUAUUUACGAAACAAAAUCUCUUGUAUUUCCUUUAAUUCCCGAAAGUAUUAAACUUUAUAAUAAACAUUAAUACCAUCUCUAAUGACUUAACUAAUCUCUUAUUUUUUUUUCUUUUUUUUGGUUGAAGUGGUUUUUUUUUUCUUGCUUUACACUGUAUACAUUAUUGUUUAGAGCAUGCCCUGUUUUUUUUUUUUAUAUAUAUGUAUAUGUGUGCAUAUAUGAGCAGGACGAGGUGGCAGUGGUGGUGGGUUCAGGGGAGGCAGAGGUGAUGGAGGAGGAAGAGGCAGAGGCAGAGGUUUUGGAGGAGGAAGAGGAGGUGGGGGUGGAAGGGGUAGUGCCAUGAAAACCAGAGGUGGUGGGGGAAGAGGCCGUGGUGGUGGAAGAGGCCGUGGGGGUGGAGGAAUGAAAGGUGGGAGCAAGGUUGUAGUGGAGCCUCAUAGACAUGAAGGGGUGUUCAUUGCUAAGGGUAAAGAAGAUGCUCUUGUUACUAAGAAUAUGGUUCCUGGUGAAACUGUCUACAAUGAGAAGAAGAUCUCUGUCCAGGUAUUACUUUUGUUCAAAUGUUAUCUCCAUUGAUGAAAUUGCAUCUUUUGUGAAGACUCUGGAAUGUUGAUUCUCUGUUGCAUCAAGUUUCUCUUUUCUUGUUUGGAGAAUAUGUUGUGCUGUUUUUAUUAGUCUUAUUAAAUCAUGCUUUUCUUCUCAGAAUGAAGAUGGAACUAAAGUUGAAUACAGGGUUUGGAACCCCUUCCGAUCAAAAUUGGCUUCUGCCAUUCUUGGUGGUGUUGAUGAUGUUUGGAUCGUAAGUUAAUUCAAUGGUUUGAUAGAAUUUGUUUCAAAUAACCUGCUUAUUGACAAUGUGUAUUCUCGUCCUUUUGUUUUCUUGUUGUAUCAAGAAACCUGGCGCUAAAGUUCUUUACCUGGGUGCUGCUUCUGGCACUACUGUUUCUCAUGUAUCUGAUAUUGUUGGCCCUGUAAGUAUUAUUUAUUUGUAAAUUAUAGUUUCCUUCGUUGUCUACUCAUAAGGAUGUGGUGUAAAAUGUUUAAUUUGUUUGUAGACUGGAGUGGUAUAUGCAGUAGAAUUUUCUCACAGAAGUGGCAGAGACUUAGUUAACAUGGCAAAGAAACGCACCAAUGUAAUUCCCAUCAUUGAAGAUGCCAGGCAUCCUGCCAAGUACCGCAUGCUAGUUGGCAUGGUUGAUGUGAUCUUUUCUGAUGUUGCUCAGCCUGAUCAGGUUUGCUUCUUUUGUAAUUCUGUUCAGAUCAUUCCUUCUAAUGAAUUACAGCCCCGCUGUGGAACAACUAUCACCCUUUUGGAAAAAAAAUUGAAAUCUUGUUUUGAAUUCUUCAAAUGAUUUACUACGGAAUUAUUUGUUUGUACUGAAUGAACAUGGUUUUUGUGUUUUCUGUUUCUGCCAAGUACUAGCACUAACUCCAUUGACAAUAUCAUAUUUCACUUAUUUCUGUGAUAAUUAACUAUAGUUUGUUCAUGUUUUUAUUGGUUUUUCACUCCUCUAAUUGGCUUCAUUAUUUGAAAAUUUUGAAAGUUUUCUUUUUGGCAUAUGGCUGGGACUACUGGGGUAUCAAAUCACUUUCGAUCCCCAAGCUUUUGUCUCUCAGUGUCAGUGUUGGCCCAGCAAUGUGUUCUCACUGUUGGUUUAUUUCAUUCAAGGCAUUUUAGUUUAUUUCUUUUGAUACUUUCCACAUUGAUUGGAAUUGAAGCUUAUAAGUCCACGCAUAUGAUGAAUUUACUCGGAUUCCCCUUCAAGACUUAAUGGGUGAUGUAAAAUCGAGUUUCUGAUGCUUACUGAAAUACCAAGCAGCUUUUCCCCAUAUCAUUGACACUGAAAUCCUUUUGAGACUUCUAUUAUUUUCUUUAUUAUUACUUGUUUGUAAUUUUUAAAAUCUAGCAUACGAUGAAGUACUCGGAUUCCCCUUCAAGACAUCAUGGGUGAUGCAAGACCGAGUUUCUGAUGCUUGUAUGAAUCAUAUAAUUUUCUUAUUUUCAGUAUUUCAAAUGUGUCAUCUCUCUUUUCUCUCCUGGGCACUUUAUUUUUCAUCCUUAUGUAUUUUCAGAAAUUUUCUGUGCUUGUUAUUCACUGUGUAAUUGUGGUCUGCUUUGAAAUAUACUAGUCUGAGAGUAUGAGUGGAGUAUCAUUAUGCGAUGCAUGGAAUGUUAUUAUGUUUACAUUUUAUAUUGUCAAUUGUGCUUGCAGGAAAUUGCUGCCAUGUUAUUUUGCUUUCCUUCGAGUAAAUUUUAGCUUUUUUAUACAUCUUGUUGAUACUCUUGUACAAAAAAGGGAGCUUUAAUUCAAAUCCAUGUGAUUUUUAUCCAUUGUCAUGUAAAUGCAACUUUUUGUUAGAGGCAGCAGUAUUUAAUAUUCACGUCUAGAAAUGUCUAAAAGCUUGCACUAUGUAUAUAUUGGGAUACCCAUAAGGAUGUUUUAGUGGCUAGCUUCAUUAUGACAGAUGUCUGUUUAUGUUUCAAUUAAAUAUCUAUAUAGCCUUGUGUUCGGUCUGUGAUUAUCAAUUUGCCAUUGUAAAAUGUGUCAAAGCUCCCAUGUAUCAUGCUAGUUUAGCUCAUUCCCUGACUAGAACGGUCACUGGACCUGUAAAAAAUAUUAGCAUUGGUUUGAUUGCUUUUGACUAUAUUGCAUAGCCCAUUGUCAAAUGAUUAUGUACGUUCUUUCAAUCCUUUUUGACUGAGGUAUGUAAGUCGUGCGCUUCUGCAGGCAAGGAUUUUAGCACUCAAUGCUUCCUAUUUUCUGAAGUCUGGGGGUCAUUUUGUUAUUUCAAUAAAGGUUGGCCUUUUAUUUCCCGACAACCAACUUUGCCUUCGUCCUGCUCUUGUAUUGAUGUGAUUAUUUUGUGACCAGGCAAAUUGCAUAGAUUCCACUGUCCCUGCCGAGGCAGUAUUUGAAAGUGAAGUGAAAAAGAUGGUGCAGGAGCAGUUGAAGCCUACUGAACAGGUGACCCUCGAGCCGUUUGAGCGAGACCAUGCCUGUGUGGUUGGUGGCUACCGUAUGCCAAAGAAACAGAAAGUUGCUGCUUAGGGAUUUAGGCUGUAUUGUUUCGCAUUGCUCUUUAGGAAUUAGAGGGGACAAGAAAGCAAAUGUGAAGUUUUGGGGGUAUUUUUCUCUGUUCAUCUUUGUUUGUAACGAAUUGAUAUCGAAUUUAAGUGAAACUGAGUAGCAGUGUUUGAUGGUGAAGUAAGGAAAUGAACAGGACACAUCUCUUUAUCUUAGUUCGAGCGCCUUCACGUGGCGACGCUUUAUUUUUGGACUCUAGCAACUAACUGGAUCGAUACUUUUCACCUUGUGUUUGGACUCUAGAACAGAAAUCUUUAGAGGGAAAUAGCAUGAUUUAAAGUGUCGUGAACUCUCAAGUUGAAUGUCCUGUGAAAAAUCACAGUGAGGAAAGAGGAGGAGAAAAAAAGAGAGAUCAUAGAGGCAUAUAGCCAUAUACUGAAGUUGCUUUAGUGACUGCACUACUGGUGGUGUUAGAAAUAUACUAGGAUAAUAUUGUCAAUUGUGAUUGAAGUCGAAUCAUUCAAAAAGAAGCCAGCUCUGUCAUCUUUGGAAGGUUUGCAGGUUUACGUGGCUUAUUUUAUUCAUUGUUGGUUACUCUUUUUUUUUUUUUUUAUAUAUAUAUAUAAUUAGAUUUGUUUUAUCAAGAUUUUUUUAAUGAUAUUAAUAUUGUCAUCAUUGGCAUGUCUUUGAAAAGUCAUUCUUUAUUUGGUUUUUCUUUCCUCUUUAUUCUAAAUUAUAUCAAAAUAUUUUAUUUUUUGAAUAUGCUAAUAAACAAAAUUAAAUUUUUAAAUAAUUAAAAUGUAUUAUUUUUAUAUAAUUUUUAAAAUAAAAAACAUUUUAAAAAAUCAAUCUCAAUUCCCAAUUUACCUUAAACGCAAAACCAGCUGCCUUGAACAGGGGGGAUUGAGGAGAAUGUGAUCUCCCCGGGGGGGGGGGGGGGGGGGGGGGGAGUAAAUAAUUUUCAAUUUUUAGAAGGCUCUGGUAUUUGAAAUGAAAAAACAAAAAACAAAAAGUUUCAUGAAGCACAAUUAAUUCACAUAAUUACACUGUAAUAUACACAGCUUAAACGUCAUAUGUCAGAAGUGGGAUUUGAACCCACGCCCUCUCACGAGGACCAGAACUUGAGUCUGGCGCCUUAGACCACUCGGCCAUCCUUACCUUUUGUAGUAUUGGUUACUUCAUUCUAUAUUCAUGUGAUCUCUUUCAUGUGUGUUAGACACCAAUCAAUUAGUUACACGUAAUGUUAUUAUAUGCAUGUAAAUAUAUAUUUAUUGCUAAUAAAGGCUUAAUUUAUCUAUAAUAUUCAUAUAAUAUUAAAUCAAAAAAUUUAAUAUUUGAUUUAUGAGUUUAGAGUAAAUAUAAAAUUCAUGGAACAAAAAUGCUUUACAAAGAAAAUUAUAAAAUUGUUAUAAUUAUGAGAUUCUUAUUGCAUCAAAACAUUGUUCCUAAGAUGUUCUUGGUCGAUGCUCUAUUAAAUAUUAAACAUUUAUUAGAGCCCUAUAGACCGAUACAUAUUAUAUUAUUAUUUUUAUGAAAGCAUUGUUCCUAAGAUGUUCUUGGUCGAUGCUCUAUUAAAUAUUAAACAUUUAUUAGAGCCCUAUAGACCGAUACAUAUUAUAUUAUUAUUUUUAUGAAAGGAAGUAGCUGUUUUUAUAAAUUGAGGUAUAAGAGAUACCUAAAACUAUAUGUAAGUGUUUGUCAUAAGAUAUUUACACAGAAUUGACCUGCAUGACAAUUUCAUAUGGAGAGAUCACCCAUGUUGUAACAUCCCCAUAUCUGGGAUAAAACAACAAUCACAUGGCGAAUAGAAAACAAGGUAAUAUAUAUAUGAAAAUCUACUAAAAUUUCGGCAGAGUCUCCCCUAUAUCGGGAGGUCCCAAGUUAUCGACAUAUAACCUGUUUACACUUCUAAUAUUUCACAUCUCAUAACUCAAUCACGAUCCAAUUGUCCUGGGUCUCAAUCCCGCAAACAUCAUUAUCAUCACAACUAUAAUAUUUAUAACAUACAUUGAACAACAAAUAUCAUUAUAGAGGAAUAAAUGAGAUAAAAUGUAUACAUGGACACAAUCGUAUGAAGUUCAGAGUUAAGAUUAUCUAUUCAAGUUUAAACAUCAAUUACACAAAUUAAGUUAUAUAAAAGUUGUAAUAUUACAAAAUACAAGGAUAUACUCCCUAGAACCAAGAUUAUAAAAGGUGAACAUAAGUUAGGAUCUACUCCUGUCAUGCAUGCGAUGGUCCUGAAACAAAAUACAUAUUAUUGAAAUAUGAAUAUUACAAUAAAUACAACAACACAAAUAUCCAAUAAUUUAAAAAGACAAACAUGCAUUCAUAUUCUAUUCACUUCUCCCUUUUGGUUUUCAUUGGAACUUUUUCUCAUUCAACUACUAAAAAUCGUUUCCUCUUCCAUUAUCAACCUCCAUUCAAGAUUUCAUAAGAUCAAUCACGAUUAUUUCCGUCUAACACAUUACCGAUACCAAUUUUACCGGUAUCAUCAUCACCCUGUGGGAGUCGAUGCACAACGAUCCCUUUAUCCGGGACCCUAACAUACACUAAAUAUAUGUUAGUCGUUGCAAGGUGAUCCCCUUACUCGGGAUCCUAACAUACACUAAAUGUAUACUAGCCAAUACAUGACGAUCCCUUUACCUGGGAUCCUAACAUAUACUAAAUAAAUGUUAGUCAAACAUGGUGAUCUUAACAUAAAUGUAUGUUAGACAAAACAUGGUGCUAGUUCAUGCCCCAUAACACAUUUCUCAUUUUUCAUUUGUUAACGAUAAUCUCAUCACUUGGCAGUUCACAAAAGAACCAUUCACCUUGAAUAGACAUACAUUUAUAAUACUAUCCAAAAUAUCAACAUCAUUACGCAAACUUUCAUCCUUUCCCAUAAUAUCCAACAUUCCUUAAUUCACAUUUCAAAUUAAUAACAUCUUAAAUCAUGGAAUUUAAAUAGAAAGUACAUGUGCGGAUCACCUACCUGCAGUAGAAACUCUACUCAUGCUCCUCUACUGCUGCUAGGAAUAUCCUACAUCGAGAGAAGAGUGUCUAGAAUCAGGACAUAUUAAGGCAGUACUAGACGUCGACAACAACACAAGCAGGCAUCAACUUCAACUAACCCUCUCAUCUAAGCACGAAGCAACUCUCUAGAGAUUUUGAGCUAAGUUUUUAAGACAUGCCAUUGCUAAUUUCUUUCAAGAUCGAUGGUUGUGGAACUUUCCAGUAAUGGAGUUUUUGUGUUGUUUACCCAUGAUUGCUCCUUUCUUUCUUUCAUUUAAAGACUUAGUUAAGUAAUUCUUUCAAACUAGUCGGGAUGAGGAGUUUCAAAAACUUCCCAUAUAUUUUCAUGAUUAUGAAAUUCUUCAUCGUAUCACUGCAUUUUGAACCUCGUUAACUUUCACUCUAAUAUAUAUUAUAUUAGCUGCAAUGAUUAAUUAAUUAUAAGAUAAAAUUGAUACAUCUGCGCGUCGGUCUUCAAUUUUUAAUAUAUAUGCAGCUCAAAAUUUAUAUAUGAGAUGUUGCAGAUUUGAUUUAAUUUUAUAGCAAUUAAAACAGGCAUUCAUUAAAAAAAAAAGAAGCCAAAAUCCCCCUUUUUUUUUAAUAAAAGAUGUUUAAUUCUUAUUAAAUAUUCAAUGAGCAUUUCUUUUUCAGAAUUCUACAUAUUAGAUUUAUAUAUUACCAUCGGAUAACUUUUCAAAUAUCAUCUUAAUAAUUCCAUGAACAACAAUACAAUACAAGUUGAUUGGGAUGUAACCUUGUCAACAUACUUCCCUUUAAAAAAGAGGAUGGAGUCGAACUCGUGUUAGUUGAGUUGCAGUUGCUUUGACACUAAGAGAAGCGCUAGCAGAAAAGUUCCCUUCAACAAAACUUUUCAUGUCCUACGUCGAAAGCAGUCCAUACAUAUUAUAAUAUUACACUUGUUCUGGCUAUUAAUUCAAUGAGCAUCGAAAGUGCUAGCUAUUUAUUAUUAUUAUUGUUUCAAGAUAACCAAUGGCAAAUUCAGCAGGUUUUUCUCUUUCAAAACAACGAAUCUUUCUCUUCUGUUGACUGAUAUUUUGACUGAUUGUUUGAUUUCCUACGUAAGUUGUACCGCUGGAAGACUUGAUCAUGAGUCGAGACGAAGAGAGCCAUGCAUUAUUCUACUUCUUAAUUAAAGAUGUAUUAAUUAUUGGUCAGCUGCUUCACGCUCCGUUAGCACCUAUACGAUCAUCAUUAUUGUUGAUAUCCUGGCCACCCCACUUCCUCAUGCGUUCUGCUGUUUCUGCAACCUGCAUUUCAUAUAUAAUUUAGCAUUUACUUGUCACGAAUUAGCUAGCUAUUAACUUGUUUAUGGAAAGAAACCGGAGGAGAGGGAAUUCUGACCUCCUUUUUCCAGUUGGUUUUGUAGAGUACAAUCAAGAGCAGCAAGGUCUGCAAAGCAGUUCCGCCUAGCAUGCCACCCCAUACGCCCUAGAUGAUCGAUCACAUAUGGAUUGUAGAGCAUAAUUAGUAGUGUUAUAUACUGGCCAUUUAACUAUUAGUGGAAGCACAUGGUCUGAUAAUCUGCUUACUAGCUACUACUCGAUCGGGCACAUACCUCGACUCCCAACUUUGCUCUGUAACCAAGCAGGUAGCCAAGGGGGAGCCCAAAAACAUAAUAACAACCAAUGUUGAUAUAGGCCACUAAUGCUUGCCACCCACCACCAAUAGCAACACCUGCGCGUGUCAUGAGCAUGCUUGAUCUAAUUAAAUUGAUGAUUAAAUUAAGGGGAUGAGUACUGAAAUUAAGAUAGAUUAAUUCGAUGGAUGACGACAGGUAGUCAUUGUAAAUUUCUUGCAAGCAGCCAAAUUAAUUAACCAUGCUGGUAUGUCCUCGUACGUAGCCCACCUGAUAUCACUGGCUGGACACUGUUAAGAACCAUGGUGAUGGCUAGAAUGAAUGCUAGUUUGGAGGUAGCUACUUGCAUCUCCUUGUUGCUUGUGAAGAUGUAGGCAAAAUAGUCCUUGGCUACCAACACAACAGCCAUCAGAAUGAGCCCAAUCACAAGUGACUGAAACACAGUCACCAUGACCGAGUAUUUUGCAGCUCUUGGAUGCCCCAAUCCAAGCUCAUUCGAGACACGAACGCUGAAAUUAAUUAAUUAAUUAAUAUAUAUACAUUCAUUUAAGCUGAAAUCAUAAUCAUACACUCCAUCGAGAUAACAUAUCAAGGAUCUCGAAAUCAAUUAAUUAAAACAGGCAGAAGUUGCACUGUCUAAUGCACUGUAUCUUGCAAUAACUCUGAAAUUAAAUGUUAUAGAAUGGGUGAUCUCCUGGAAUUAUUAUUUAUGCAUCCCAACCCGUAUGCAAGCUCAUGUCCAGGAGUGUGUACGCAACCAAAGCAAUAAGAAAAGAAAAGAGCACCGAUGUAUACACUCAUGAGACAGGCAAGUAGAAUCCAUAUUCAUAAUCAUAGAUGAUUGAUUAUCACCAGAAUUUAGCAAAUGCAAAUAUAUAUUGAGUUGAGCACACUAAAUUAAUUUUACCUUAUAGCAGCAUUUAUUCCAAGGAACAACAUUAGUUCAAGGCCAUUGAUAUUCAAGCUGAAAUAUAUACAAUUCAGAAGAUUAACAACAAGUUAAAAUCAAGCUAAGAUUGAUUAAUAAUUAAUUGAUAUAACAAUGAUUAGGAUGAUGAUGAAUGACUGACCAGAUGGUAAGGGCACCAACAGCAAUGACUGCAUUACUAAGAUGUCCAGUGAGAAUAACAAUACUCAUCAUAUACCAGAGCUCCAGGCAAAGCAUGACAGCUGAAGCUAGUGAGAGGGUGACGAAGGACCAAAUAUCCUUAAAUGCAGCCCAAGAAAACCCACGCCAUCCUUCCUUACACCAGCCCAUCACGUACACAGCUUGAGCCAGAGCAGUUGACCAUCCAGUAAGGUCUAAAGCGAUUGCUGCUCCAGUGGCGCCCCAACCAAGCUUAUAGAUGAAGAGCCAAAGCCAAAAAGCGUGUAGAAGGAGAGUCGCAAAGGCAAUACAGGCAAGUACUCCAACCUUGCGUUGAGCUUGAAGGAACUUUUGGGUAGGGAAAUAGAUAGCCAGUGAAAAUAAAUUAGGUAUGCCUACGAUGGUGAAUUUUCCGGCAAGGUCCGAAAGAUCAUCUUCUUGGCCAAUGACUUUGAGGAUAGGAGCGGAAAAAAUGUAAAUGGGCAAGAGGACGACACAACUGACGAAUAAGAUGAUGGCUGAUCUUUGCAAGUAAACACCGAGCAUAUGAACUUGACCAGCACCAAAAGCUUGACCACAGAGGGUCUCGAGGGCACUGCCCAUACCAAGAAGGAAGCCGAAAGCGAAGGUCAUGAUGACAGAGAGGGAAACAGAAACGGCAGAGAGUUGCAAGUUUCCAAGAUGGCCAACAAAGAUAGAGGUUAAAGUGUUGGUACCAUACUGACAGAGCAGAGUGAUGGCAAUAGGACCGCCAAUCUUCCAUAACUUAACAGUCUCUUUCCAAAAUACGAACUUCAUAAAGUCUUUGAAAGUCUUGGAAACUGCAGGUGAGUAGUCUCCUUCUGCUUCUGCUUCUUGUGGUGCUGCUGGUGCAGGUAAUGGUGAUGACGACGACGACGAAGAUCCAUUAUUGAGCUGCAGAAGUGGUGUCGUGCUCUGCAUAUUAAGGAUAUAUAUAUAUAUGGUAACAAUAUCAAGGAAAUGAGUGAUAUGGAAGUUUUGUGUUUCGGUCUUUCUUGAUAUAUACUUUUAACAAGAAGAUUAUUGAUUUUAUAUAUAUAUAUAUAUAUAGAGAGAGAGAGAGAGAGAGAGUUGAAAGUUAGGUUGGAUGAAACUAGUUAAGGACUUUGUAUGAUAUUUAUUUUACUUUGGACAGUAGUGAUCAGCAGCAGGCAACAGCUCUGUUUGUCCGAAGCAAUUAAGGAAUGAUCUCAGUAGAAAACGUGAUAUAUUUAUAUUCAUGAGGAGGAAGGAUGAAGAUGGAGAUGGAGCAGAGUGCUAGUGGUUUGUUUUAUCAGUACGUAACUGUGGUUCUACGUGGAACUGGAACCAGUUGGGGGUCACAGCAAUGAAGGAGCGACCAGUCAAACCGGCAGUCUAUACAUGGAAUGGAAAUAAUGUUUUGUCUGUUUGUCCAUUGUAUCCAUGGAAGUGGAGUAGCUACCACCUAUUUGGAUUAUUGGAGCUUUUUAAUUGGCCUUGUUUGAGCAUCUCCAACAGAAAGGCAAAAUGAGUACUCAAAUGUUAAAAAUUAUCCUGUUUCUUUAUUUAUUUACUCCAAUACAGGAGUCAAACAAAUAACUUAUUUUAUUUAUUAUGUGAAGAGCUAUAACAAAUGAUUGUUAGUCAACGAUUAUUUUUAUAGCAAUUUUUUUUUUUAAAUGUAGAAGGAAAGAGCUUGUAGAUUUUAAAAUUUUUUAAAUCCAAGAGGAAAUAGCUUUUAGAUUUUAAAAUUUUAUAUUGUUCCUCACCAUUCUCUCAAAUUUAAAAAAACAAGAAUCAAUUAUUCUUCGGUUAAUUAAUAACAUCGGCUGUGUUAAUUAGCUGAAAGUAAAAGGUAUGCUUGUUUAAAAACUUUUUCUAUUUUCUCUUUUAUAUCUCUUGAUUUUUUAGACCUUUUGUUGUUAAUUUAAUAUUUGUGAUGAUUUUUAUUUCUUUGUUAUUUUAUGUUUUUAAUAUGGGUUAAGGAAGACAAUUUUUAUUUAUGUUAUUAUCUUUGAUAAAAUUGAGAGGAAUUAAUAAUGGUAGUUGAUAUUGAUAAAAAUAUAAAAUUUAAAAUGUUGGCGGUUAUUUUUUUAAAUUUUUAAAUUUAAAAUUUAAAAUGUUGGUGGUCAUUUUUUCAAAACUUGAUUUUUUUUUAAAAAAUUUAAAAUCAAAAUUUAAAAUGUUCGGCGGUUUUUUUCAAAGUUUGAAUUUAAAUUUACUUUUAAAAAAUUAAAUUUUUAACAAUAACAUAUAAAACUUAAAAUUAAAAAUAUUCAUAUAAAUAAAUUUUAAAUUUAAUUUUAAAUUAUAUCUUUUAACUUUCAUAUUAUUUCAUUAAUUUUAUAAAUUACUCAUAUUAAUUAUAUAAUUAAUAACAUCAUAAUUAUACUAUAUAUAAAAUAUCUAAAUUAGUUAUAUAAUUAUAUUAAAAUAUAAUUGGCUUUUCUAAAUAGCUUUUUACCAUUGGAAUGUAUAUAAUAAAAAAAACCACAUUUACACUAUUCAAAAAAUUAUUUUCUCCAUUUGGCUCUUUAAUAUAGCAUUUUUUCAUGGAGAUGCUCUUAGUGGUUUUUUUUUAUAAAAAAUAUAUAAAUUAAAAUGAUAUAUUGUUAUUAUUUUUUAAAAUUAAUUUUAAAUAGUAAUAUAUUCAAAUAAUAUAGAAUAUUAAAAAAUAAUAAUGUUUUUUAAAAGUUUUUAAAAAGCAAAGAAAAAAAAUCGCUCGAAAGUCGUAACUAACGUUCCGUUCCAUCAAAGUCAUGACAUGCAUGUUCUCGUUCAGUACGUGCCACUCCCACUCAUCAGUCAACACACAACGAAUUUUCCUUUCCCUUGACAUAAUGUUUGCAUUCAGGGUCGGAUCGUCAGAGAGUAGAAAUCCGUAUGGUAAGAUUAGAUCUUGCCUGAGAAAACAAGUUAGGAAUGGCUUCUUCUUCUUCUUCUUCUGUUUUUUUUUGAACUGUCCUUGCGUUCAUCCUUGGGCAUGGGCUAAAAGCUAGGCCUUGGGUACUUCGAGAAGGGGGAAAUAUACCUGUCAUCAUUUCCAUUAAAAACUGGAUAGCAUACCACGGUCAGUAUAAUCAAGCAAAACAUCCAAAGAUGGAUUGCUUGUGAAAGCACCGGCCAUGCAUGUAGAAGAUAGAUUCAACAUUCCAGCUCAUUUCAAUGCAAUCUUCCUUCAUCCAACAGAGCUUCGUUUCCUGUCUUGCAUCUAUGCAAGAAGCCUCUGUCAAUCCCACCAUCAAACAAUGAAUUGAAUUCAGCUUCCAGUGUUGCUGUCUUUGUGGAGUUAUCUGACUCUAUUCAGAAAGAGAUCUUCAUGGGGCUUAUGGGCCACGAACUGGCACCCGCUAGACAUGCUUGGUCGCAUUUUGCUCCAAUUACAGUAGUUGGAACUACAACUACCCACCUUGACACCUUGUAUAUGUGUGUGCGUGUCCUAAAAUCAUAAACGGGCCAUCCAUUGUUUAUAUUAGAGGAGGUAUUGUUUAGCCCAAUAUUCUCUCAGGUUAAUCUUUACUUACUCAGCCCAAAUCGUCCAUCAAACUCAGCCCAUCUCUACUCCACUCUGAACCCUGAAGUUCAUCUUUAAAACACACAAACCCUAACCUCAAACUGCUAGCUAUCCUCUCUUAAACCCUAAAUCACACGCGUACUGCUUGUUCACACUUCACUGAUCUGAUAGUGAUAACCAACAGCAGCUUGCAGGUUUACCUCCCCUUCUUCAACUGUCACCGUCUGUCCAUUAUGGCAGCCCUUCCAACACCAUCUGGUUUUAGCCCCAAAACCGUGGAGAAAGCUGUGAACGCUCUUCUCAAAUGGAGAUCAUCCAAAUUGAAUACCCAAAAGCCUCAACUACUGGAACAUGACGAGUUUGUCUACCUUAUCUUAACCCUCAAAAAGAUCCCACAUAAGGGUGUCAGCCGCAUCAACGCCCACAAAAUCCCUCUCCCUUGCCCCUUAACCAACCCUCUAACUGAAGCCCCUGAGCUCUGCUUAAUCAUCGAUGACAGACCCAAAUCAGGCCUCAAUAAAGAUGCUGCCAAGAAGAAGAUUCAAAACGACAACAUACCCAUCUCCAAAAUCAUCAAGAUUUCCAAGCUCAAGACCGAUUACCGUCCUUUUGAGGCCAAGAGGAAACUCUGUGAUUCUUAUGAUAUGUUCUUUGCUGAUAAAAGGGUGGUUCCUCUCUUGCCUAAGAUGUUAGGGAAACAGUUUUUUAAUAAGAAGAAGAUUCCGAUGACUUUGGAUUUGAAGCACCAAAAUUGGAAGGAGCAGAUUGACAAGGCGUGUGGGUCUGCCUUGUUGUUCCUGAGGACUGGAACUUGUAGUGUGGUGAAGGUAGGGAGGAUUUCGAUGAGUAGAGAGGAGAUUUCCAAAAAUGUGAUGGCUGCUAUUAAUGGGAUCGCGGAGAUUGUGCCCAGGAAGUGGGGUGGUAUUAGGUCUUUCCAUUUGAAGUUGCUUGAUAGCCUGGCUUUGCCUGUUUAUCAGGCAGUUCCUGAUUUGAAGUUGAAGAUUGAUGGUAGUGCAAAAGAGCAGGAGGAGGAGGAUGUGGUCGCUGAGGAGGAAGAUAAGGUUAAAGAGGGGAAAAUUGGGAAAAAGAAGGGAAGGAUACAUGAGGUUAGAUAUAUGGAUAAUAACGAUGAUGGUCGGGUUGUUGAUGAGGAUGAAUUGGGGAGUGUCUUUGAAGGGGAUAUUGAUAACCAUGCUGAUGAUGAUGUUGAAAAGGGCAGUGAUGAAUUAUUGAAUAAGAAGAGAAAGAUGGGAGAUAAUAAAGGGAAAGGUGAGAAGAAGGUAGCUAAAUUGAAGAAAGAAGAUGGUUUCAAGCAAAAGAAAGCAAAGAAUGAAGAUGUUACCAAGCAAAAGAAGAUAAAGAAAAAUGCUUUGGCUUUAGAGAGUGGGGGAAUGCAAGUGAAGGAUAACAAGAAGAAGAAAAGAUUGGCUGCAUAAUGAUUGAAUGCCGCUUCCUGGAGAGUCGACACAAGGAAAUUUGCUGCUUGCUUAACUUGGAGAGAAUCAGUGCAUGGUUGUAUGCCUGUCCUUUUAGCAGAUUUGGUCUGAGGUUUUAAUUAUGGUAUUCAUGAUGUCAACUUUUUUUUUAGUUUAUUUAUAUUCAGAAAUUUAAUAUGAAUGUUUUUUUUCUCCUUAAUUAUGUUUCUUGAUUAUGGAGAACAGAUAGAAUGGUAAUUUGAUAGUCAGCCUUUCAUUGGAUAGAGUUCAAAUUUACUUUCUUAUCUCCUAAAUUGUAAGUUUUCUGCAUGAUGGGUGGAAUGCAGUUUGAGUUCAAAUGUUGCAUAAACUAGAAUUAGGCUUAUUUAUUUAUACUGAUAUUUCAACUUAGUGGUUCCAUAUGUUGGCUUGCAAGCAAACUGGAAGUAGUUGGUCGUCUGAUAUGAAUUGUGUCAGACAUACUUGCGGAUUGGAUAGGGAACUUGCUCCUAACAUGUAGUGUUGCGAACUUGCAGAAUACCGGUUUCUGAGGAAAUUGUGAGCCAUAGGAGGCUAAAAAAAUGACAUGCAGUUAGGAGGAGGCAAAAAAAUAGAAAAGAAAAAAAGGUUACCGAGGAGAGGGAUUUUUGAGAUGGGAUCUUAUAGUGUCAAAGCAGCUCUGCACUUAGAGACUGAUCCUAUUCGAUCUGAUUGUUCUAGAUGCUGUCAAUCUCUAAUUUGAUUGUCUUAAUUCUCAAAAGAUUGCAUCCUGUCCCUGCCCAAUUGCUUUUUGAAUGAGCUGAUUAGGAUUUGAGUGUGCUGAGAUUGGAUAAAAGCAGGGUCAAAUUGAAAUUUAAGGUUUUCAUUUGCCCCGUUUAUCUUCUUAAAAGAGCUUUAUAGGAGAUUUGAGCUAUUCUCCACUUCACACGAUGUUUCUGCCAACGGAUAUCCAUACAAAUACGGGGUAUUCUUAAGAGUAUCCAUGCUUCCUAGGUAGAUAUCCAUGCAAACACGCAAGCAAGCAAAUGCAUUUGCCAAAGGACUUAAUGGCAGCCACAUCGUGAAAGUGUGCACAAGAAAAUUACUGAGCAUAGAAAAAGGUGUUUAGACAUGAACCUAUACAUUCCUUUUGAUUGUCCUAGGUAGAUAUCCAUGCAAACACGCAAGCAAGCAAAUGCAUUUGCCAAAGGACUUAAUGAGCUAGCAUAGCAAGACAUGGUGAGCGCAAAACAUUAACAAGAUAUUUCUCACUUGUGUUCAACUCGAAAUUUGGGAAUGCAUUUUCAAAACCAAGCUUCAACCAUCACGCUCCAAGUAAUGUAGCGGGAUCUUGUUACUCUUCAUUGGCUGAAGCUGAUGGCUCUGAUGUGGAAGAAUCUCUCCUCCAUUGCAGAUGGGAGCUGGAAGAAUACGGCAUCUUGACAACAGCUUUCUUGUUGAUGCGAGAUGAUAGUGCUCGAGAUGGCUUCCCAGCAAGCUGGGCCAUUGCAGAUGUUGAUUCCGCCUUCCUUGAAACCUACAUGGUGAAUAUGUCAACUUAAAGAGUAGUUACAUGGUGAAUAUGUCAACUUAAAGAGUAGUUCAAUGUAUACAAUUUUGAAUUCCUAGUCUCUGAUAUAACAUUAUAAAACAGAUGAAAUCAUUACUGAUAUGAUUGGAACCAAUUGAAGAUAGGGGCACAGGCACAGUCACAGUCACAAGCAAAAGAUUAUUUCAUGACAGGGCAACCCAAAAAUACAGGGCCAGUGUACAUUAUUGCAACAACACGAGUUUACAUCACACAACUUGUUUCAAAUUUUUUAACCCCCAAUUAGAUCUAAAGUUUGUGUGCUUUGGUUUGUUUUUCUGCAUCCAAUUGAAGAUAGGGGCUCACACACACACGCACGCACCCACCAAGGCACAGGCACCUGCAUAAAUACUCAACAAAGGAAACAAUAAGUUAAAUGAAAGUGGAGAGAACAAAAAAUGGCUCAGUGUAAAACAGUGUAACUUGGAGGUCCAAACAUGUAAUGGACGAUUAAAAAAAAACUAAAGUGCAACUAUUGGAAAAGUAGGGAGCAAAAAAUUGCAUGAGAUAUAUCUGCAACCCAAAACAAAGUCCAACUGUUUUUUAAUUUGAAUGCAGAGCAGAACAUCUAGCACUUCACAACUUCCUACUUUCCAUGUCAAAUAUGGCAAAUUCUCUAAACAAGCCAUUCCAGGUUUUCACUCACUUAAUUUUUUAAUUUGCGUGGCUCUAAUGCACCACGGAUAUAUUUAUCAACUAUAAGAUAUUAAUGAUCACUUACUUUCAAAGUCCUAGAAAAAAAUGUUGCACCACUCAAUGCCACUGCUUUCUCAGCAGAAUCCUUGCUAGCAAAGGCAACAUAAGCAGAUCUAAAAGAAGAAUAUAAGAUACAGUCAACCGAUAUAGUCUCAAAAUAAUAUAUAUCAGAAUAUAGACCCCGUUAAUCAGAAAAAUAACAUGGCUGAAAUUUGAUGUCUACCCCUUUCUCUGGCCAGUGGUUUUGUCAAUCAAGAUCACUACAUUCUCAACCACUCCACACUUGGCAAAGUACAAUGAUAGAGCUUCUUUUGUUGCUGCAAAAUGUACCUGUAUGUUUAUAGUAGAGCAAUAUCAUAAUUAUGAGACAUCCUGAAGUCUAUUAGGAGACUUUUAGGAAACAAUACACAGAGAUAAGUUCAGAGUAUCAAUAUAUUUCUGAAUUGGUAACAUUUCUAAAUUUGUAAUGCAGAAAAUGCUCUCAUGGUAAUCUGGUGCGAGUAAAAAUAAUUUCAGAAGGAAAAAAUAAUUUCAGAAAGAAAAGACAGCCGAAGAAGAACAAGAAAAAAAUACUUUCAGAAAGAAGAAGAGGAAGGCAAUAUUCAUUAACACUUUCCAAGUAAGGCAUGGUUAAGCUACUGUCUUCCACUAUCUAUACGUUAAAUUCUGUUGCUUAUUGGGCUUGGAAACAUUUCAGAUCUUGUUCAUAUCAGAAAAGAAGCUGAUAAGCAGAAAUUACUGACUUUGAUUCCCUAAAUUCUGGUAAAAAAUAUGCACAGAAAAGAAAGAAGGGAUUGAAACUUCCUGUAGAUUCAGCAACUGAAAGUAUUUGUGACUUGCUAAUAUGAGCCAAAAAACAACAUUCUGAAAAUGAAUCAAUGCUCCCAUUUAAAACACACAUGACUUGUCAGUAAACAAUGCAACACAGAAGAAGAGAAAGAAUGCGAAACAUUUGAAUUGACUUGCAUUUGUCACAAACACAGUUCUCAUCUUGGUAUCUUCUUCUGCAUGAAUUUUUCCAUCUGCAAAUGCACAAGGUAAUAAAUUUUAAUGCAUGAAGAUAUCCACUAAGAACAAUAGAAAACUCAACAAUCAUUGUCAACUUGUCAAGCAAGAUAAAAAAGGAGGACGAUCUUAUUAUUUGAAUCUAGAAAGCAGAAGGGAAAUCUUGGAGAUCCAUAUAAGAUGGCAAAACACCAAGUUGUAAUCCUAAACUAGCUGGGCUCAGCUUAAUUAGAUGAUAGAUUGGCAUCAGCCACUGAAACAUUGAAACCAAAAAAUCUACACUUUGACAUUAUUAUGGAACUCUUUAUUUAAAAUGAUUCUACUAAUUUAAUAUAAGACCACAUCAUUCAUGAAGAUACAAGUUGCAUCACGAAUGCAGAAUUAAUUUGAAUGGAAAAUCAGACAUGGUGUACAUUUAUUUCCUAAUCUAUGAAAUGUGUUCAUUCUUUACUCAUGUUAGAUCCCAGAUUGCUCCUAAGGAAAAGAAAAGUGCAGCAUACACAGGUCAAAAGUGUUCAGGUUCCCCUCUUCAAAAUUAAUCAGCUUCCACCCUCCAUACUCCCUUCCUUUCUUACAAAGACAGGCAUCUAUGCCGUUUUCAUUGCCCUAUCUCUGUGCAUAGUCUUUUUUUUCCUUUCUUUCUUUGAGGUGCCAUGUAAAGUCUCUGUGUGUGUGGUGCAGGAGGAGUGAUCAAGUUAUGGAAAUAACCUACCGGAACGUGACAGUAAAUUGGACUUUCCAUCUUUCUCCAUCUCAACUUGCUUUGACCGAAGCUUAGACAUUUCCAAUUCAAUUUUAUGUAGUUUCUGUUUCACAUCUAGCACUUCCUGCAAAACAAAAGGUUUUCAAACCUUCGACACACUGAUCACAUGUUCUUAACGUAUUUUAGGGGAGUGAGAUAAGAAGGAAAUCAACUUUUUAAUAAGAUCAACUCUGUCACUGCCCAAAAUAGAAAAGUAAAAUCCUCUCUUAGUUGCUGUUUCCCAUAGCCUAAAGCCAGACCUUAACACUCAUGCAGCAUUUAUCACCAAUUAGCAAUGGUUUUGAAGGCAGUAACAUACCGAGAUCAAAUUUGGAGUAGCUUUAGAAUCUUCUUUUAUCAUAUUUGACCUUUUAGAAAAUUGUGAAAAAUCUAGGCACUGAAGCUCCUUCCUGCUACAGCCAGCCAAAGCAUCCUGGUCAGUACAAAUUUCCCCGAAGUGUCUUUUUCGUCUAAUAUUAUUUGCAGCAUGAGCUUCAUGCAUCGUUCUCGUUGGUCUCUCCAAUUUCCUGCUCUCAGGCUGGAUGUUACCACGGCCAGUAACUCCUCCAGUCAUACUCCCUCUAGUUCACUAUUUAAAACAGGAAGCACUGCUUUGUGUUGGUUAAGCAAUUCCUGCUUUAGAUACACUGUACCCGAACCAUCACACAACUCAACAGUUUUGACCCCUGAAGGUACACCAUCACAUGGCUUUCCCAAUCUAUCCCAAACACUAAUACAAUGUUUUUCCUUCUGGUGGGACUCCGCAUGAACAGAUCUUGGCAAAAGACAUUUUCCUGAAAAAAUAGUUGAAAAAUUGUCCACACAUGAACAUAGUAGAUGAAGAAAAUGAUCAUGCAUUUAAACACAGUUCACCGAUGAGCAGGAUGAGCAAGAAAACGUAAAAGCAUGAAAGAUUAAACAUUUACGCAUUUUGCAUAAUCACAAUGAAUGCAAAAUCAGCACAGUAAUCUUUGAGCUAUCUUCCUACUGUUCAUGUCAACCACAGAUCAUCUAGUUAUUGCAUACAAGAUGGCAUAUAAAUUGGCUGCAUAUGUGGUACCUGAUGUGGAGGGUUGUGGAUUUCUAAAAGCUGGUUCCCUUCUGGGUAUAAGCUGAUUAAAUAGCAUGUUGCAGCUACCAGGGACGAUCUGCUGUACAAUGAGGCAAUGCUCAAGUUAGACUAGAAACUGUAGAGAAGAAGCCAGAAAAGUCAGAUAAAAGAUGUGGCUACACCAACCUUCGUUGCUUUAUCAACACACUGAGAAUUUUGCUUUGCAUUGGAAGAGCUUUCUUUCCUCAAAGAUUCAUUUGCCAAGGAAUUAUAAAGAACAUUCUCAGAAGCACCAAUCUUUCCGUGACGCUCAGUCUUGCAAGACCGUGACAAUACUUUUUUUGAAUUGAUCUCAGAUGAUGGAGAAGAAAAACUUUGAACUUGUUCAAAGUCUUCAGCAAGUUGACCGUGAUUGACAUUACAGAAGUUAGGAUCAGAAGUAGUUGGCAACUGGCGCAUCUGAUCAUCUUUGAUCUGCAAUUAGGAAAAAAUAUCAAAUCAAAUUCCACUACUGGAUUCAUGCAUGAUGAUUAAACACAUAGAUUAUGUAAUACAAGUGGGAUUACCACAAAAGCAUCCAUAGUGCUACUAUCAUGGCCAUGACUCUGAAAGUCCUUUAAUUUUUUGAUCUUGGAAUCCUUAGCGCAUGGAGUGGUGAUAUUGACAUUCUUUGCAUCUGAUAAUAAACAAAUAUCCUUGUUGGACUGAUAGACAUAUUUCAAAAGAAGAUCCCACAACCUUUACAGAAAACAUAAUAAGGGGAAACGUAUUAGCAACUUUACAGCAAUUUGGCGCUAAGAAGAAAAUAUAACAACGAAUACGGCUAAUCUAACGAAAGCUAAAGUAAAUAAAAAUCAAUCUUUUCCUGGAUUGCUCAAAACAAUGCAUUAUUGACAAUGUGGCUGCUCUAUCUUUAACACAAGCGUCACAGUUGAUAAUUGCUUUGAGGUUAUAGGACUAAUAAGUUACCAUCUUAAUCGAAAUUGAAGCAAUUAGAGAUUUAAGUGGUAAAAAUGAGAUUAAACAAGUAGAAAGGGUGAUUUAGAAUUACCAAGAAACAAACUCCUGAGUCCUUUGACCAAGAAAUGCUUCGAGAUCGUGUCUGGCCUGCUCUUGAUUCUUCCCAUUACAAACAAGCACUGUAAUAUACUCCUGGAAGAAGAAGAAGACCACCAUUAGAAUUUUCAUUUUGAUUUUUUAAUAAAAGAAAAGGGAAGAAAAAGUUGUAAAGUCAGGUUUGUGAGCGGAUAUAAGCACAGAACAAUGAUGAUAUUAAAAUAAAAAGGAAGGAAAAUGCAAUUAAAUUGAUAGAAUGCAGGAGGAGGAGAUGAGAACUGGUUACAAUGGAUGGGAUAAAAAAAGAGAAAGAAAAAGAGUAGGAAUUACAGCAAGGACACGGUCGUGGGAGUAAGAGUGACGGAGAUGUUUGGAAAUGGAAGAUUUAAGCUUGGAAGCCAAUGCUGACUUUCUCUUCAACUUGAAUGAAGUUGAAGCUGCUGCAUCAUCAUCUUGUGCCGAUAUUACGCCGAUUCCACCCAUUCCUUAUUUAAUUAUUUACUUUUUUACCAGAGAAGCGGAGGAGUAGCGAUUUCAGAAGCGUAUUAGCUGCUCCACUCCACUAUUUUCUAUACUGCUACAGCGAGUUCUAACAUACCGCCGUCGGCGCCACCUCUAGUUUUUCUUUCUAUUUCUAAUCAGAAACCAAAACAAAAGCUUUCCUUGUCAGUUCUUUUUUUUUUUUUUUAAUUUAUUAUUAUUACGCAGUCGGGCAGGGGAGAGAGAGGAGUUGUUUUCGCUCUUCACACACUCCUCGAAACUGAUAAAAACAUUUCCCCUCUUUCUAAUUUCUAUGAUUUUGCCUUUGCGUUUCCAGAAUCUCCCCUUUUUUUUUUCUUGAGAAUGAC
rnacentral:lncRNA from 1 species